rnacentral:lncRNA from 1 species
CGCUUCAAGGUUAAUGUUGAAUUUGUACUCGUUUAUGUGAUAUAAGAAAAUGUGUUAAGGUAUAUUGUGAUCUCUCCUUUGAUUUUUGCAGAGCAAUAGCACCAGAUCCUCAUAUUAAGUAGACUUGCAACAUCAUGAAGAAACUUGACAUACUUGAGAGGAAAGUAAAGCUGCUUUUCAAACAAAUUUAUAAGAUUUAUUAUGGUAACUGAAAUUUUAUAGAAGAUGAGAAUUAUAAGGUUCUCCUUGAAACUAUAAUUGACCAAGACAUGAACAAGUUUGUUUUCCUCUACUAAUUUGUCUUAUUGAUUUACAUGAUGUUUUGUUUUAUCAGAUUUCACAAUGUCACUUUUUAUCUUGAUUCUCAUAUGAUUAUCUACUGAAAAGAAGAAGGAAUGAAAGAAGAUGGAGUCGAAUGUAGGUUCACACUAAACUUCUUUGUCUUUUACUUAUGUUCUCUGGUUUUAGUGUUUUAAUCUUGUAGGAUGUAGCAAUGAAUAGGAAAAUAAGAGAGCUCUUGAGGUGUGUGGUUGUUUUCAUUGUUUCUUUGCUGUUUUAGAACAUUGUUUUCAUCUUUUAAUAUUUACAUGGUUUGUGGUUAAAACAAACUUAGCUUCUUUUGAAAGACGAAGAGGAUGAUACUAGUGAAGAUGAUGAUACUAGUGAAGAUGAUGUUCCUUCGAAGAAGAGACUCUGUCGGAAACAGAAAGGGGAUGUGACAACAAAAUAAGCGUUGGCUUUGCCGGAAACAGAAAGAGGAUCUCAAGGUAUGUUUUUUCAUGUCAAGGAAGUCAAAUCUCUUUGGUUUUAGAGAUAUUGUUUCUAUCAUGUAACAUUUUUUGUUUUAUUUUCUUUGGUCACGACACAAUGAUGUUGAACUCAAAAGAGGGUGUGAAAACAACAUAAGCUUGCUUAGGCUGGACCACGUCAAAGAACCCAAACGAAGAAGAUAAUAAGGUAUGUUUUCCUGUUAAGGAAGCCAAAUCUCUUAACUAUUUUAGAAUAUUGUUUUCGUCAUUGCAUUUAUCUAUUUAUUUUUGGUUAAAGCAUACACAACUUGCUGUGAAAGAUGAGGACAAUGUUAUCAAUGAAGAUGAACAUAAAAAAGAGUGCGACAACAAACUGGCCUUUCCAUAGGCAGCAUCACUUCAAAUAAACCAAACAGAAGGACCUAAAGGUAUGUUUUUCCAUGCCAAGCAUCGAACAAGUAUUCAAAACUUAAUAUUUUAAUUUUAAAUUAUCUUAAAUUUGUAAAAACGAUUAUCAAUUACUACUACUAUUAAAACUUUAACACUGAAAAUUUUGUGAUCAAUAGUUUAAAAUUUUUAUUAUAAAAAUAUAUAAAUGAUCAUAAAACCAUAUGAAUAUGAAACUUCAUUUAAAAUAAAAUAAAAUAUUAUAUUAAAAAGAUUUCUGUGAAGUUUCAUUUUGUAAAUAUACAUAUAAAUUUAGUAUAUAUAUGUUAAUAUCAUUUAAAUUUAAUUAUAUACUAUAUAAAAUAAAUAAAAACUAUUAUUUUGAUUUAUUUACAAUGAUUUUAAAUAAACCAAAGUGAUUGUUUUGAUUUAUGUGUUCACUCAAUUUAAUUAUACAAAUAAUAUAUACUGCCUUUUAAAUUAUUUAAUAUACUUUUUAGUUUCGUAAUAUGUUAAUGAACGUAAGAUAAGUAAUUGUACAUUUGUACGUAAAAAUAAGUAUGCAUAAGGUUCAUAGGAAGACUCAUCUCGUACUGUUACGACUCUCAUACUGUUACGAGGUUAACAGUCAGAUGUAACCCUCUAGGCCACGCCGAAGGUUGGAUUAACAGGCGUCAGAUGUAACCCUCUAGAUUAGAGUGAAAGUCUCGUCUUGCAUCAAUAGGACGCUUCCAAAGACUAUUCAACUCUCCACCUCCAAGGUCCAAACAAACACACACACUCUCUCUCUCCUCUCUCUUACUUUUCCUCCUAAACUCUGGCGAAUGAAAUAAUAAGUCGUCGCUAGCUUAGAUACGACAGCGACCGAUGGGAGCGGAUUUGAAAUCAGUAACGGCUUCCUGCACCGUCCUCGCCGUUAUCUUACUGCUCUGCGGUGGCGGUGCGGCGGUGGAGGAGGAUGAGAACGAGUUCCACGGCGACUACUCGAAGCUCUCGGGUAUAAUCAUCCCGGGAUUCGCGUCGACGCAGCUGAGAGCGUGGUCGAUCCUCGACUGUCCUUACUCCCCGUUGGACUUCAAUCCUCUUGACCUCGUUUGGCUAGACUCCACUAAGGUACGUGAUCUUCGUUUGUUUUCUCGCUUCCGUUUGUUGAAGAAAUCUGAUUGAUCUUGAUUGAUAGAGUUCGAUCCAUCGCCUUCGGUUUAGUAAAUAUAGUGCUCGUUGUUUCCCUUCGACUAGAUCUUAGUGUUUACUGCUUAGUAGUUAGAAAAUCUCCUGCGUAUUCUUAGAUCGAUAUGUUAUGUCAUCGUUAGGUUAAUGGAUCGUGAAGUGUUAAUCAUCUGCAUUGUGAUCGAUUUAGUAGUUUAUUACUGGUGGAUUUGAUGAAUGCUUUGUGCAGCUUCUCUCUGCUGUCAACUGUUGGUUUAAGUGUAUGGUGUUAGAUCCUUAUAAUGAAACGGAUCAUCCCGAGUGUAAGUCACGCCCUGAUAGUGGUCUUUCAGCCAUCACAGAAUUGGAUCCAGGCUACAUAACAGGUAGUUCUGAGUUUAUUUUGUUUUCCUUAAGAGUUUCUUAGAAUAUGAACGUUUUGUUGUGAUAGUAAAGUAACACUUUGGGAUGAUCUUCAGGUCCUCUUUCUACAGUCUGGAAGGAGUGGCUUAAGUGGUGCGUUGAGUUUGGCAUAGAGGCUAAUGCAAUUGUCGCUGUUCCUUACGAUUGGAGAUUGUCGCCAACCAAAUUGGAAGAGCNNNNNNNNNNNNNNNNNNNNNNNNNNNNNNNNNNNNNNNNNNNNNNNNNNNNNNNNNNNNNNNNNNAAGAGCGUGACCUGUACUUUCAUAAGCUCAAGUUAGUCCUGGGGAAGCUAGUAUACUCUCUCUUUUAUUUGUUUGUGAUGUAAGAUAAGCAAAUAACUCUUGUCUUCUUCUUCUUUAUGCAGGUUGACCUUUGAAACUGCUUUAAAACUACGUGGUGGUCCUUCUAUAGUUUUUGCCCAUUCUAUGGGUAAUAAUGUCUUCAGAUACUUUCUGGAAUGGCUGAGGCUAGAAAUUGCACCAAAACAUUACUUGGAGUGGCUUGAUCAGCAUAUCCAUGCUUAUUUCGCUGUUGGUACUGGCCACUUAUUUUGUUAAGCUGACAUUUUACUUUCGUCUCAACUGGAGAGUCUCAAUCAUUAACUGACGUCAUGUUUGUAUAGGAGCUCCUCUUCUUGGUUCAGUUGAGGCAAUCAAAUCUACUCUCUCUGGUGUAACGUUUGGCCUUCCUGUUUCUGAGGUUACCUCUGACUUCCUUUUAGUAUCUAGUAGCUAAUAUCCUCCAGGUCAUAAAAUUCACUUUGAAAGUAGUUUUGCUAAUAGAGCUGCUGUAUGGUAUAUGUAGAUCUUAAAUCGCAUAGUUAUCCAAGAAAAUAUUAUGAGUAAUAUCUUUGUUUCUAGUGCAACCAAACUGCAACAUGCACGCAGAUUCAGUUUCCAUGUUAAUAUGGUAGAUUCCUAGUUGAGAAGAAGCUUCUAUUGAGAUCUUUAAACUCGAUAUUCUGUGGUUUGUUUAUUAAUAUUAGUAACAUAUUGACAUGCGCUUCUCAUGUUUUUUGUUGGCAAGGCUUCAGGGAACUGCUCGAUUGUUGUCCAAUUCUUUUGCUUCUUCGUUGUGGCUUAUGCCAUUUUCAAAGAACUGCAAGGGUGAUAACACGUUCUGGACGCAUUUUUCUGGUGGUGCUGCAAAGAAAAAUAAGCAUGUAUACCACUGUACUGACGAGGAAUAUCAAUCGAAAUAUUCUGGCUGGCCCACGAAUAUCAUCAACAUUGAAAUUCCUCCCCCUGACGGUAUGGCUUUGUACAUGCAUCUGUAAAUGGUUCAUUGUUAUAUCUCGUUUGUUUUACUCAACACCAAUAAUUUUGUAGGCCUUGAUGCGUAUCCAUCAGUUACAGAAGCAGUUAAAGCCAACAUGACCAACAUGGAAUGUGGUCUCCCCACUCUAUUGUCUUUCACAGCCCGUGAAUUAGCAGAUGGGACUCUGUUCAAAGCAAUUAAAGACUAUGAUCCAGAUAGCGCGAGGAUGUUACACCAGUUAAAGAAGUAAGUACCUUUUUCUGUGAAGACUUAUAUUUCUCUUCAAUCAUCACUUGUUGGCUCCUUGUACUUCAACUGUGAUAUAUUCUUUGUCAGAAAAGUGUAAUCACAAUUCUUGGUUUUGACUAUUAAUGGUGCUCUCUUACUAAUGUUAUGGAAUGUCUUUUUUUCUUUCUGCUUGCAGUUAUGAAUGCAAAAGAUUGUAUUUCAGAUUGAUUUUCACAUUGAACAUUAAUCCUUUGUGUAGUUAUUUAGACUCUGGCACGGACUAACAUGUCAAAUUAUUUGCAAAUGUUUGUUCAUCUUCAAAGAAGUGUAUAUAUGUGUGUGUGUUGUGUAUAACAUGCCAACUAUCUUUUACAGGUUGUAUCAUGAUGACCCUGUUAUGAACCCACUGACUCCUUGGGAGAGACCACCUAUAAAAAAUGUAUUUUGCAUAUAUGGUGCUCAUUUAAAGACAGAGGUGUGACUACAUUCUCCAAAUGGCAUUUUGUGUCUGUUUUGUUAUUAUAUUCCUCGUUUUGUUCUGCAUUAUCCUUUUUAUUUGUGUUCUUAUCUUCUCCCUUGCAUAAGUGCAUCAUAUGUUUUUAAACGUGAAAGAUACUAAAUGUAUGAAGUUGUAAUAGGUUGGCUAUUACUUUGCCCCAAGUGGCAAACCUUAUCCUGAUAAUUGGAUCAUUACGGAUGUCAUUUACGAAACUGAAGGUUCCCUCGUGUCAAGGUAAAUUUUCGCAAUAUUUUGGAUGUGUAAUAUCUCAUUUGCAUCAGCGAGUUGUUACAUAACUAAUACUUCAUUAGUUUUUCUAUCAUCUGAUUUUAAGAUUAGUGUAUGAUCAGUGGCUAAAGGUGGGAAGUGGUCUGAAAUUCUUGCAUGAAAAAUAUCACUAACAUCAAAUAUAACUGGCAGAACAAAAAAAAUAGUCUUUCUAUAUUUUCGCUUAACAAACCGUAGACUAGCUCACAUCUUUAUGCUGCAAUUCUCCAGGUCUGGAACUGUGGUUGAUGGGAACGCUGGCCCUAUAACUGGGGAUGAGACGGUAAUUUUAGAAGUUGUGUUUCGAAUUAUUUUGUUGCAAGACUACUGAGGAUCAGUAUACUAUUUGCUUCAAGAUCACUACGUGUUAUGUAUUUUACUGCGGUAUCCAUAGUGAUUAUUAAUUUUACCUCUUAUAGGUACCCUAUCACUCACUCUCUUGGUGCAAGAAUUGGCUCGGACCUAAAGUCAACAUAACAAUGGCUCCCCAGGUACUCUUGUCUUGUGCAUUUGUUAUCUUCCACUAAAAGUUUCUGUAUUUCAAAGACCUUUUAUGCAUAUAGAUAAUCUGAUUAUAUGUUGAGUCGCCAACAGUUUUUCCUUUCCAUAAAAUCACACAUCUCUGUACCCCUCAGAAUGUAUCUAAAGCUAAAAGAAAUUCUCAUUGAAAAAAAACAGCCAGAACACGAUGGAAGUGAUGUACAAAUCGAAUUGAAUGUUGAACAUGAGCAUGGGUCAGACAUCAUAGCGAACAUGACAAAAGCACCAAGGGUGAAAUACAUAACCUUCUACGAAGACUCUGAGAGCAUUCCAGGAAAGAGAACGGCAGUGUGGGAGCUUGAUAAAGGUGAGUACCAGAUAUAUCAAAACUGUUGAGACUAAUCAAAGUAUCUUGCAUUGGUUUUGACUUUUGGCUAAUCACUGUUUGUGCAGCGAAUCACAGGAACAUCGUUAGAUCUCCAGUUCUUAUGAGAGAGUUAUGGCUUCAGAUGUGGCAUGACAUUCAACCUGGUGCAAAGUCCAAAUUUGUCACCAAAGGUAACAAAAAUACUAUUGGCUAUACGAUCACUUUCUAUUGCUUGUGGAUGUAAUUACAAAUACGUUGUCACAGCCAAGCGGGGGCCACUUAGAGAUGCGGAUUGCUACUGGGACUACGGGAAAGCAUGUUGUGCUUGGCAAGAAUACUGUGAAUACAGGUUUUCACUCUCCUUUUCCAUCCAAAAGUUCAUAUUUCAUAUUUAUUAUCCUAAAAUCUCUAACUUUAAAUAUUGUGAAACCGAAUGCAGAUACAGUUUUGGGGAUGUUCACUUAGGACAAAGUUGUAGAUUGAGGAACACGUCUGCUAAUAUGCUGCUCCAGUACAUAUAGAUCAUCUCCUCGUUCAGGUCACAACAAUUCCUUCCUCUUAAUUUUUCCCUCCCAGUAAGAGGAGAAAAAAAACUUUAAACGUUGAACUCUUAUUGGUCUCUCUCUAUAUCUACAUUUUCGCCUUCUCACGCAAAGGUAUUCUUUUGUGAUUUGUAGCUAGAGUGCAGUUACUUUGAAUUUUACGGCUAAACCCAUAUUAAAAUGGUAUUUUUGUUAAUUACACCUGCUAAGGUACUAAAACCCAUUUACUCAAGCUUUCUGUGUUCACAAAAAUGUUUGAAGUUUAGUUGCAUUUGAAUUCUAAGUGUUUGGUUGUUUCAAAUGCUUUGAGCUGGCAGUCAAUUAUAAACACACUUUUAUAUAUCACCAGUGAAUUAUUACUAGAUAUGUAAAGACUCUUUUUUUUUUCACAGAAAAUUCAUAUGAUUCAUUCAACGUUCAAAUCAACAUUUACAAUCCCAGAUAGCUACAAGACUACAACUAUUGAAAACUUCUAUUGACACCUGAAACAGACUACAAGAUCUCCCAAAAACAAGACAUCUUACACACUACCACCCCAAAAAAUGAUUAGAGACCACAACUUUCAUUAGCAAAGAAAUCAGAAAGCCAGUUUGGAUGACUCCUAGCCACAUAGGAUUGCAUCCUAUUCUGCUUGGUAACGCUUUGAGCUAUGAAAGUUGCCCCUCCAUUUUGAUCUCUAGUAAUCACCUGCCACCGUACAUCUUCAAUACCUCUAGCUUUCGAUUCAAUUUCUCCCGCUUGGAAUAAGAAAGAAGGCCAAGCUUGAGGAUGGUUAACUGCUCCAAACAAUUCUUCCAUUUCCCCUGCAAACAUAACUUUAUUGAAUCUCAUACUUCGCAUACUCUCAACUGCCCAUAAUACUACUUGUAACUUCGCCUGAUCUUUAGAAGUGAUAUCAGAGAAGGUCCUUCUACCAUGGCAGACCACAACACCUCGACCAUUCUUUAAUACCCAGGCAGCACCCAUUAAGCUUCUAACUUUACACCAGUCAAAUGCAAAAUUGCACAUCAGCCACUCCUCAGGGGGAGAAACCCAUUUCUUCUUAUUGUUGACUCUUAUCUCAAUCCCUGCCUGUUGAAAAUCCUUAUCCACCACUUGGGCCAAACUCCAUUCCUCUUCAUCCUGUUUCGCUUUGUUAAAAACUUCCAUUGAACUAAAUCUUGUACCUUCAAACAACAAAGCAUUUCUUGUCUUCCAAAUAGUCCACAUGAUCCAAAGCCACAGACUUCACAUAUCCGAGAAGCCACAUCUCAGUUUCUUCAAUUUCAAGAGAUAAUUAAAGUUGACAUAGAUUGAAGACUGAUGAAACCCAUUUUCAGGGUUCGGAAUCCCGGAAAGUGCCCAUAUUUGCUUUGCAUACGUGCAAUCAAACAUCAGAUGAUUGAUGGAUUCCUCCACGAAACCACAAAUCUGACAUAGAUCGUCCACUUUUAAUCCUCUGGCCUUAAUCAAUUCUGCAACGGGUAAAGCUUCGCUUAGCAUCUUCUAUAAGAAAAUCUUAAGUUUUAGAGAUGUAUGCAACGCCCAAACUUUCUCCUUGAUAGGAUUGAUUGAAGGCAAACAUACCACAUCUCUCAGCCUAUUACUUGUUUUCAACGAAGAGGUUAACCAGUAAGCAGAUUUAACCGAGAUUAGGCCACUUUUGUUGUAUUUCCAAACGAAGAAAUCUUCUCGAGAAACCACCGGUUGAUUCCGAUUGAUUAUCUCCACGUCUCCUGGAACAAAGUUAUCAUUCAGAGCACCAUAAUUUCACCUUCUCGAAUCAUGAUCAAUGAGAGCGUCGGCUGACAGAUUAACAUUAAAAUAGUAGUUCUUUCUCCAUGGUGCUCUAAGCCCUUCUAUGGGAUCAUCAAUCCAUUUGUCAGUCCAUACUUUAAUAUUUAUGCCAUUUCCAAUUAAACCUUGCUGGAGCAAUUCUCUCCCAUACAGUAAACUUCUCCACGCAAAGGAUGGGCGCUCAUCUAAUGGAGCAGAUAAGAAAUUUCCAUCCGGAAAGUAUCUACUGGACAAGAAUUUUGACAACAAGACCGAAGGUCUACUAAGGAUACUUAAGGCUUUUUUCGCCAGCAAAACUUGGUUGAAGCAUUCUAGAUCUCUGAAACCAGAUAUGUAAAGAUUCAUGAUCCUUUUUAUUUAUAGAAAUAGAUACAUUUAUAAAUAUUUAUAUUUAUAAUUAUAAAAUAGGUGUUAAAGUGUUACUUUUUAAGGUUUUACGUUUUUGAUAAAAGAAAUUGGGAGAGAGAAGGAACAAAGCAUAAUUAGGUGGGAGAAUUAAAGUUGAUCAGUGGUUUGAUGGUUUGGUUGAACAUGAGUUUUGAGCUUUUCUACGAGAGUUCAUACUUUAUUUAUAUAUAUCGAAAUUAAAUGUUUAGUCAAUUUUAUGGUCCCUCUCAAAUUUGCUACCUUUUAUUAAAUUGUAGACAUGCAUUAUUUUCGUGGUGUUUUUUAUAUAUAUUUUUUGGUCUUAAGGUUGGCAUUAUUCUCUCAGUCAGUUGGAUGAAAGGUGGCAAACUUAAUGCCUAACUAUCCAAAACCCAAACAGAUUGCAUACUCUCACGUCUAUCAAAUCUCUGUUUAAGCUCUUUGUUAGCUAUGCAAUAAUUAUAGAUUAUAGUUUAUAUGAAAUUUGAGCUACCUAUAUGUAUUUGCCUCCAUUUUCAUCAUUAUGUUACCAGUUUUUUAGUUAACAUAUAAUCAAAUUUCUUCAAAUAGAUGUUAAAUACCGAACUUUAUAACUAUAAAUUUGAUUGUGACAAAAAAAUAAUAUGAGAACUUAUUUCAUAUAUAAAUUUAGAUUUUACUUUUAAACUUUUAUAUAUUUAGCUUUGCACUAUAAUAUCUAUAUAUAUAUAUAUAUAUGAUUACUACAUCCUACUUGUCAAUUGAUUGAGGUCGGGCCUUACAGUUAUUAUUGUCUAUUAUAUGAUUUUUUGGUGGAUAACAGUAUGAAUUUUUCUAUAACAAGAUAAAUCCUAAAACGAAACUCAAACCAAUUACAAAAUAUAUAAAUAAAUCAGAUUUUACAGUCAUUAAGGUGUUGGUUAAGUUUUGUAUUGAGUUGAUCAUUUCUUGAAUUUGUUAGUGUAGGUGAUGAUUAAUAAAUGAAUGAAAACGUAAACCAGGAAAAAGUCACAACUGAAUCAAUAUUCUUUCUCCUGUUAUAUUUAGCGUGUGUGCGCGCCUCUUCAUUUACAUAUAACCACAAAUAGAAAGGGUUAAUUUUGACACUAAAGAAAUUAAUUGUAUUGUAAUGAUCUUGUGCCUACACGCAACAAAGUUGCAAGGCUUGUGGAAUAAAGUAUAGUAAAAGAUAAUGUAUAAACGUGUUCUAAUCAAAAUAUAAUUUUUUGAAUAGAAUUUAUUCUUGAUCAAACCGCAUUACGAAGUAACAGACUCGUUAAAAAAUGAAAUAUGUAUAAAUAAUCGCAUUGUCAAUUUAAAUGAUAGUCAUCUAUACUAUUAUCUGCGAAGUAAGUUUUUGGAAUCGAACUCUCACUUAGAAUAUUUAAUAUCGUUUAUACCCUUAAUAAAUAAAAUGUAUAACUAAAUUAAAAAAUAAAAACGAAAUUUUAAUUUAUUUGAUUAGAUAAUUGAUUAAAAUUAAUAAUAGUAAGAAUUAUCCAAAAUCUAAAAAUAUAAUUUUAAAAAGAGAUAAUUUAUAUAUAUAUAUAUAUAUUGUAUUGUUAUCUGAAAAAGUCUUUUAGUAAACAGUUAAAAACAUGAAUUAUAUAACUAAAUAUUAAUCAAAUAAAAUUUUUAAUUAUAUAAUUAAAAAUAAAAUAUUGAAUUAACCAAAAUCUAAAAAUAUAAUUAAAAAGAAAGAUAAUUUAUAUAUAUAUAUAUUAUAUUCUUAUCUGAAAAAAUAUUUUAGUAAAAAGUUAAAAACAUAAAUUAUAUCUAUACUAUUAUUUGCGAAGUAAAUUUUUGGAAUCGUGCUCUCACGUUAAAAGUUAGAGUGGUUAAUAUCGUUUAUAUCCUUAAUGAAUAAAAUGUAUAACUAAAUUAAAAAAUAAAAACGAAAUUUUAAUUGAUUUAAUUAUAUAAUUGAAUAAAAUUAAUAAUAGUAAGAAUUAUCCAACAUCUGAAAAUAUAAUUUUAAAAAGAGUUAAUUUCUGUAUAUAUUGUAUUGUUAUCUAAAGGUCUUUUAGUAAAAAUUUAAAAACAUGAAUAAUAUAACUAAAUACUAAUCAAAUAAAAUUCUUACUUACAUAAUUAAAAAUAGAAUAUUGAAUUAUUAAUAAUAGUUAGAAUUAUCCAAAAUCUGAAAAUAUAAUUUUUAAAAGAGAUAAUUUAUGUAUAUAUUGUAUUGUUAUCUGAAAAAGUAUUUUAGUAAAAAGUUAAAACAUGAAUUAUAUAACUAAAUACUUAUCAAAUAAAAUUCUUAAUUAUAUAAUUAAAAAUAGAAUAUUGAAUUAUCCAAAAUCUAAAAAUAUAAUUAAAAAAGAUAAUUUCUAUAUAUAUAUAUAUAUAUAUUUUUUUUAUUGUAUCUGAAAAGGUAUUUUAGUAAAAAGUUAAAACAUACAUUAUAUAAUUAAAUAUUAAUCAAAUAAUAUUUUUCAAUUAUAUAAUUAAAAAUAUAAUACUAAGUUAUUUGAAGAUUUAUUUUAGUAUAAUAAAUAUAGUGUACAAAGAACUUUUCAAAAAUUAUGAAAAUGUUUAAGCCCGCAUCGCGGGCAAAAUACCUAGUAAUUAAAUAUUAAUCAAAUAAUUUUUUUAUUAAAAUUAUGAAUAUUGUGUACAAAUAACUUUUCAAAAAUUAUGAAAAUGUCUAAGCCCGCUAUGCGGACAAAACACCUAGUUAGACUUUAUACAUAUCGCACAGUGACUAGAAUUGCUCAAAUUACUAAAAAAAACUUAAUUUUUGGAAAAUAAAAGUAGUGGUUUGUUGCCUAAAUAUGAAAAAGAAGAUAUUCAUAUCAUAAUCAUAUUAGAAUUUAUCUGAAGACAGAUUAGAAUAUAAAUUGAUAUCUAAAAGCCAUCUUUUAUGAUUUUACAAAGAUUGGAUACCGAGUCCUGUAAUUUAGAUAUUUAUCACUUACUUCUAUAAGCUUUAUGCCAAAAAAGCCAGUUUUUUCGAUAAAUAUGAUUCCUUAUAAUUCUACAAUUAUGAAAAAAGGAUAAUUCAGUCAAUUCCUCUUUGAUGGUAACCCAAAAUUGAAGAAACGGUAGAGGAAAAAAGGGUAAUCUAGUCAAUUCAGGUUGAGUGGCACUUUAGUGAUUUCCUAGAACGUCAAGGGGAAUCUAAGCCCCCCGCCUCUAUAAAUUGUCAUAAUCUACCCAUUCCCGUGACCUUUCUGUUAUCCCUUCUUAUUCUUUCUCUCAAUCUAUUUUCCUUUCUCCUUCUCUCUCUAGACGCUCCGAUUAUUUUCUCGACAAAAAAAAUUAAAAAUCCAUAUUUUUUUUUCCUUUUUUCACCCGAAUAUUUUGAUUUUACUGUUUUACGGCAGUUAAACUUUUUUCUUGUGUUGGGUGCUGACGUGGCAUGCAUUCAAUAGAGAAGCACCAUGAACACCAAAACGAUGCGUUUACCCCCACGUCGCGUUCUAACGACCGAAAAGCGCAAAGAAAGAGACGGCGUUAUCUCCUCCGUCGUGAAGCCGCCGGAAUCCACCGUGACGAAGUUUCCUCCACCGCCGAAUCUUGCUCCUCCGACGGUUAAUUCCAUUUCCAAGAAAGCUCUAAUCGCAGCCGAGCCGGUCGGCUCGAACCAGCUAAUGUUAGCCGGUUACUUGAGUCACGAGUUUCUCACCAACGGCACACUCUUCGGGGAGCAAUGGAAUCCGGCUCGAGCCCAAGCCGGUCCACCCGAGCCAAAGAAGGUAAAGCCGAACCAUGCAGUUGAGCCGGUUGAGGAAAGUGAGCCGAAACGGAAGCGGUACAUGGAAGUCGCUAAUGUCCUCAGGUCAGAUGGGGCCCACAUGCCCGGCAUCGUCAAUCCUGCCCAGCUUGCCCGAUUCCUCAAACUGUGAUCGGCGUAAUCCGGCGUACACGUGGAGGCAGAUCAUUGGUCCGUCGCCCAGCAAGCAAGACAGCCCUAAAACCAGAAUCCGCCGCUCCUCUCUCUCUCUCUCUCUCUCUCUCUCUAUCCUUUUUUGUUUUGUUUUCAAAUCUUCUCGUAUGUAAAGCGCUGACUCUCUCUCAUCGUCUUCUUCCUCGAAAUCGAUCGAGAAAGUCUAGAGUUUGUUGUGAGGUAGAUUGUUCAUGUUCUUGUACAUAAAAAAAAAAUAUCAAUUAGACAAUCCAUUAUAUCUUGAAAUCAGAAAACUUUAAUCCGUUUGUGUUGAUUUGAUUGUAUGUAACUGAAUCCUUGAUCAUUCUAAAAUUUUGAUUAAUUUACAUAAUUGUAUCGAUAGAUCUUAGAUUCGAAUUCUUAGUGCGAUCCGAGAUGAACUGAUGAUAGAAAUUUGAAAUUUAAAAACAUUUUUUCUCAAUCUUGCUUCUUCUUCAUCAUCAACUCAGCUAAUCUCUUCGAUAUGCAGUAAGCAGUACUCUGAAUCGUGACCAUAGGAUUAACACCAAGAGCCGUAGGCAAAACACUCGCAUCACACACAUACAAACCCUCCGCCUCCCAGCUCUCUCCGUAUCCAUCAACAGCUCCUUCCUCCUCCGUCGCGCCCAUACGGCAACACCCCAUCUGAUGCGCCGUGAACGAAUGAGUCCACCGCCUACUCAUCGACACAACUCCAGCCGGCGCAUCCACCGUCUCCAAAAACUUCUCCAGAUCCUCCUCCUUGACUCCACCGCACUUCAACCUCUGCCCAUCGCUCCUAUACGUCCCCACCUCCUCCGCUCCCGCAGCCACCAAGAUCCGUAACGCUCGUCUCAACCCCGUCGUCAGAUUCUCUUCAUCCGCUUUCGUUAAUUUGUAUUUAACAAUCCCUCCCUUCACUUCCCCGACGCCUUCGUCUCUAACCAUUACGAAGAUGUGAGACGUUCUUGCGUAUUUUGCUAAUCUCACCUUCGUGUCUUUCCCAGAGACCCACGGGAUGAGAGCCGCGAAGGUCCCUGGACCUAACGCUGGAGUUUCCAGCGUUAUGUUUGGGGUUGUAGAGUCUAUUUCGAAUACGUAGUGUAACGAAGUCAUGAUCUCUCCCUCGUGAGCUGCUCCGUUGAAGUUCGAGUUUUUCUCAGGGAAGUAGCCCCACGCCAUUAGUAUAGGGUGGAUGUGGAGACCCCGACCGAUGUUAUGAUUCUUCAACCCGCUUGAAGAUAACAGCCCCGGUGUCAUUAGUGAGCCGCAAGCUACAACUGUUACUUUAGCAUUGAUCUCAAUCUUAUUUAUUGUUGUGUUUGAUAUUGAAACUGUGACUCCCAAGCAUCUUUUUUUUCUUCGUCCACUCUCUGUAUCAGCAAAGAUCAGCUUCUCGGCCCUGCACUGUGUUAGGAUAACAGCAUUGUUGUCAACUGCAUCAACUAACCAUGUUAUAUCCGUUCCUCUCUUAUCACCAGUUUUGCAACCGAACGAGCAGCUGCCGCAGUAAUGCUCCUCUGACGAGUUCCUCGGCACUACAGUCACAUCCAGCCCGAGCUUCUCGCAGCCUUUACGCAGUAUCUGGUUCUGAAAACCUUCUCUGAUGACUCUCUCAGUGACGCAUAUUCUCUUGCAAACACUUUCCAUAGCAGCUGUGUAUCCCUCUCUAGCGAAUGUUGCGAUCCCUCUAUCAACUGACCAUUCUUCGAUGAUCGCGUCAGGUGUUUUCAACGAAGCCGCCCAGUUUACAACCGACCCGCCGCCGAGAGUUGACCCCGCCAUGAACCUGAACCUCCCGUCGUGCGUCAUCAGCAACCCGUUGGCUUCGAACAUCUCGAACAUGGAAGGGCCUUCGAGUGUUGAGUAGUCUUGCGGCACGAAGUAGUUCCCUUUCUCGACGACUAUUACCUUAAGGCCUGACUUCGCUAGGUUCGCUGCUGCGACUCCUCCUCCGCAGCCGGAGCCUAUUACCACUGCGUCGCACUCGAUCUUGAAAGUGUUGCUUUCUUUGUCCUCUUUGAGUUUAAGUCCUUUGUUGAUCAUGAGUUGCUUGAUGGUUGCCUCGUCUUCUUUUGCGGUCUCGAUGAUCCCUUUCUCUAGAGGCCUUUGCUUGCGUUUAAUGUCCUCGUUUUCACCUAUGUCCACCUUGUAGCCAAUUGCAUCCCAUGCCGGGUUCUCUGUAUUUUCAUUUGUCUGUUCAUGUGUAUUGAGUUAGUUUAUUAUACCAUGUUAUUGAAUAGAACAACACAUCAUCAUAACCAAACCAAUACACUUGAAUUUAAAGUAUAUUAUUCAGAUGAUUCAUGAUGUGGAUUAGAAACAAAACCAUGUUGUUGAAUAGAACAACAUAUCAUGAUCACCAAACCAAUAGAGACAAAUUUUAGUGUAGUUUUCAGAUGAUUCAUGUUUAUGUUCUUACUAACUUACCCAAGUGAAGUAGUAGAACAAGAAGAUGGCUUUGAUCAUCAUAAAAGCAAUUCUUGCUAGAGGGUUGUACCACUGUUUGUUCCAUUUCUGGAGAACUUUUUCUCUCUUCUCAAGCGAGAUGUCAGAGAAUUUGAGAAGAAGAAAAGACCAAUUCUUUUUAUCAAGACAGACAAACCCACAUAGCAACAAAGUUCCCAAUCUGAAGGUGAGUAAUCUCAAAACUAUUCUCACCACUGUAACUGUCACUGGCAUUGCCUUUGUCGCCAUUACCUCUGCUACCUGUUUUAUCAAUACAUUGAAGUUAAGUGGAGUAGUUAAGAUGCAUUGUUUUCAAUAUAUUCACUGUCCAUCAUCUUUACUUCAGUAGGUUCCUGGUUCUUGUUCAAAAUAUUUGCUAGAUAGAGAAACAGUUAAACAAGAAAAAGAACCUCAUCAGGUCUGACAUGAGAGCCAGAAGACUUGAAGAAAGAUAAGAGGGCAUCGUUGCGUAAGACUUUCAGCUUCAUGUCAAGAUCUAAGCUCAGUAACGGAACAGGAGGCAUGAUAGCCUCGCAAAUGGCAGAGAGAGCUUGGAGGUCAGAUUGUGAGAAGCCAUGGCUAAAGGUUUCUUGUUUCGUACUCCAUCUCAGCAACGGGUGCCCUCUCUUCUUGCCUCUUGUUCCUCCUACCAUCUCUCUGUUUUCUGCAUUCAUAUUUCAAGUUAUUUAUCUCUCUUCUUCCUGCUUUACACAUACAUAUAUAGACAUGCAUGGAGCCUUGUGGUUCUGUUAAAAUAAAAAUUCUUCUUUUUGAUUCUCUACAGAAACGUUGUCGCGAAGUCGAAGGCGGUUUCUUAAGUGUUGGGUAAUCAGAACGAAGAAGGAAAAAAAAAGAAACGAAGAAAGAGUUUGUUUCUUUUUUGAGUUUUUAGAUUUAUAUGUUUGUCGUUUGCGUCUGUGUUGCACUGUAAAGAAAAAGAAAUCACAAUGACGCAAUAAAUUUAUGUAUUAUGGUAUUUACGUAUAAUAUAUGAAUACGUAUGUGUCUCUUCAGGUGUGUGAUACAACAGGGGUCCACGUGACAACUGCUACAUUGUACAUAUGUCACAGGUGUUUUCUUAGAAAGUGACCAAAGCUUGUGAUCCUCCAUUAACAUAUGUGGCCAAUACAAAAAAAAAAAAAAUUUCUGUCAUACAGUGUUCUUUUGUUUCAGGUGUGAAGAAUUAUUGUAGAACCAUAUAAAAUCAUUACUUUAAUAUUUCACUUUAGAUCUUAUUAACGGUGUAGAGCAGAUGAUGAGAUAAAAUACAUCCCGAUUAAUCUUUUGUUCUUAGAGUACGAUAAUCAUACAGCAAUUUUGAAAUCACUGACAAUACAAGCCUUUUUUCAAAAAAAAAAAAAAAUCACUGACAAUACGAAUAUUUGUGCUGGACUGGUACUGACACGUCCUAUAAACUUUCAGUACUUAAACCAGAAUUUAGAGUACAAUAGUUUGUAGUUAAAUCAUAAUUUAUACAACAUUAGUUGCUUAUGUGUUAUGUAUGUCUAUGUCUACCUCUGUUAUGCUCUUUGCUCAGCUUUUGUUGUACUUGUUGUACCUGUUGGUAUUGCCAUGUUGGCUUUGUUCUCAUGUACUUUGAACAUCUUCUCCUGGAGACUAAGAAUCAAUAAAAGUGUGUGGUUUGAUCAUAGUUAUAUAAGUCGAAAUCCACGUACAUAUUGUUAAUUGUUUUCCAACUUUAACUGCCACCUUUAACUGUUACCUCUUUUCUUUUCUUGCGUCAUGGCUUACAUCAAUUUAGAUUCAGAUUUUUUGUUUAUUUCUGAUAUCACGAUAUGUAUAGUAUAGUGUUCUUUCAAGAAAUGUAGCCUGGCCCUAGUGUUUUUGCGAAUUUUACCUUCAACAUUCAGGCAUUUUUUUUAAUCGUUUCUAGUUUCUAGAUUAUUAAAUUUGAGUGGCUCGUCCCUAAACAGAACAAUCUAAAUAUGAAGUCAUAUUUUAUUUUUAUCAAUUAUUAGCCAAUAAUUGAUUUGUUUUUAUUGACAGCUGCUGAUUCUCUUUACAGUUUUACCAAAUUAAGAUUGCAAUACAGAACGAACAAUAAAAUUAGCUUCAUAAGUUUAAAUACAUUUCCAACAAAAUGUCGUUCACUGAAUUAGUUUCUAUUUGGUUGUUUUAUCACCUUCACGUUAUUAUUACAAUAUCUGGAAACCAGAAAAUUAGCUCUUAACAUUCUCCUCUCCCUUCUUUUUUUCUUUGUUAAUAACUGAGUAUCUUGAUUCAACAUUUUAUUUGGGAGCACAAAAAGUAUAGGCCAUAGAGUUUGAAAUCAAAAUGCUUUCAAAGAAAUCUAAAACAAUCGCUCUUAAUCGAGUCGAAAAGAAUAAUCACAUUUCUUUUCGAUUUUGAUUUCUCUCAUUCUAGUAUUCAGAAAAAAGAAGAAAAAGAAUAAGCAUACAAAUAGCUUUUUCAUCAUUCUUUUUCUUAGGAACUGUUUUGAUUUGGUUUGGCAAUUUGUUUAUGUCAAACUACAAAAUGAAGGGUCUCUUCAAGGGUCUUAGAUACAUUUCUCAAAUCUUCGGUGAGUUAUUUUUCUUUUUAUGUGAAUAUAUAUAUAUACUAUCUUCUCAGAAAUGUAUCUUUGUAAUAUACUUUUUGAAAUGAUUAGUAUAUUAAGCUUUGUGAAAUUGCAAAAUGCAGAAAACGAGAAAGAGCCAGAGAUGCAAAUUGGAACACCUACAGAUGUAAAACAUGUUGCUCACAUUGGUUGGGAUGGAGGAUCUCCCAAUCAAAACUCACCGAGCUGGGUAUUUACACAUUAUUUUUUUUCCUCUAUAUUUUCAAUAAAUUUUGGUAUAACAACGUAUAGUAUCAUAAUAAAAUAUAUAUAAAUUAAAUAUAGAUGAAUGAUUUCAAUGCAUCCGGUGGAUAUUCAUCGUCGCCUCUAGGAAAUAUCAAGGAGGAUGGCUCUUGCAUUUCUGAAGGUAAAUCUAAUUAUAUCUACUUGUAAUUCAUUUUAAUAAAUAUGCUGAAUAUUUUGUAAGAACAUUUUAACGUGAAGAUGUUAACGUACAUGCAGAUUCAACUCGAUCACGUGAUAUACCAAGAUAUCCAAAAUCGUCGAGAGACCGUUCGAACAAUUUGGAAUCACCAGCAAAAGAACGAACACGACGUGGUUCUUCGAACUCUAGUGGAAAUCCAAAAACUUCACGAAGAUCAAAAGAAUCUUCAAGUAUAUCUCAAGAUGGUUCUGUAAGAUCUCGUCGUAAAAAGUCUAAAGAUUCCGUGAACGGUGGAUCUACACGAUCGUCGCGGAGAGCACGUGAUUCUCAGACAGAAUCUAUAAGUGGUUCAAUGUCUGAUGGAGAAUCAUUGAUAUCACUCUCCUUUGAAGAUCUUUAAGGACACGUAAUGUAAAAGUGUGGUCUCAAAAUAUCAUAUACAGCUUUGGUUGGUUACUAGAGGACAUUCAAGCUUGCAUGGGGUUUUCGGAUUUUGUAGAGAAAAAAUAUGAUUUGUCAUUAUAUAAUCAACCGAGGUGAUCAACUGAGUCCGGAUGUGGAUUUCUGUUGAGUUAUUAUUAUCACUAAUUUCACAAAGAUAUAAAUAUAUAAUCAUGCUCAAUUGCUCAUGAUGUUUUAGAACAAAGUUUACGCUAUUUAAAAGGUUUACUUUUGGUUUUUAAUAAUUUAAAUUUUAAAUAUUCGUGUAGUUAAAGUCUUUAAAAGAUGAUGAACUAGAGAAUACAUUGUCAACUGGCAUUUUAAAAUAAGUUUUAACCUGCCUUCAUGCGAAUUUAUUCCAAAACCAACCGGACCGGCUAAAUAAACAGAGUGCUAAUGUGGCGUUUCCUCCAUGGUUUAUAAUUUCGACUAAUUUAUGAGAUGGAUGGCUGAUAUUUGCAAAACAGAGGAUGUAAAAUAAAAUCUCAGCUCAGAAGAGAUAGCAAGCUCCACCUAAAGGUGUUCUAUUGUUGAUUAGCUCCUGAAUCCAUUUUUCCUUGCUUAUAUUCUUAUCAGCAUGAUUUAUAACUGUUCCAUUGUUCGUUUUACCAUAACAACAGUUUGCUGAAACAAUUGCAACAAACUGAACUAUUCAAAAAUACUUUCUGUAGUCCUGAGGGUUAACUCGCGAGGCUAAAGUAAACUCCACAAAACAAGUAGUAAGGAUCACUUAAAAUUAGUUUCCUAUGGUUUUGGUACAGGUCUUGCAUCUAGGACAAAAACUGAAGAUGCUAAAACGAUGCCAGAAGCCUAAAGAAGACGAAGACCUCUCUGCUCCUGCCUAAUUCACACUAAUCACUCCCAUUUUUUCUGAACAACCAAUCAAAAUAUUAUGGUCCACAACAAUAUCCACUACUACAUCCCUGAGAAAUUAAAGGUAAGAACUAUAGAUAUCACUAACUAUAUAACCAUCACGUUACUAUAUCGAUUACAUAUUAUUUAUAUAGUAACCAAGUCCAUAUGUUUUAUUUACAUACAAAAGCCAUACUACAUCAAAUCAUUAUUUCACCACUUACCAAAAGACAUUAAUUAAAUAACUCUCUUUACCAUUCCAAGGAGUGGCUCCUGCUUAACGACCUCGACGACGACGAAGAUGGUUUUCGUUUCUCAUCGUCAACAGGAAUCAACUGCUCCAUAAGGUUCUUGUAUCUCUCUCUGGUCUUCUCUUCGAUCUCCUUCAAAAGCUGCUCGUUCUCUCGCUCUAGCUUCGCAGCUAAAGUCUCAAGCUCCACUUGAUACGCCUGCUUCCUCUCUCUCGACCUAGCGGCUGACUCGCGGUUCUUGAUCAUCCUCUUCUGUCUCUGCGCCGCUGCUUUGUCCAUCGCCUCCACCAUCACUCUCCCUCUCUUUCUCCUCGUCGAUCCUUCAACCAUCUCAACUUGAUUGUUCUGCUGAGGCAUCAUCGGAUAAUCGAAUGUACCGGAGAGACUCAUCGGAAUCUUCACAUCGAUUUCAUCAUCAUUACCGUCCAUCUCCGCUGCUUGCGCUAAGAAGUCUUCAAGCGUCAUCAUAUACUCAUCUUGCGCCUCCUCCUUCAUGACCGUCUUCUUCUCUCCCGACACAAUCUCUUUCCAGACGUCGUCCACACUCUUCCUCCCUCCUCCGUUAACACUGUUCCUGUCUCCGUUGCUCCGAUCAACAUCCAACGAAUCAGACGCGAAAUUGUAAUCGUGAAGCGUCGCGUCGUUCCCUCCUCCGUAGCCGAAACUGAUCCUGGAGUGAUCGGCGUGAGGAUCUCGUCUGAGAUGGUUGGAUCUUACGGUGGGAGAAGACGAGGCGGAGGAGGAGUUACGGCGAGAGAGAUCGGAGUUUCGGGAUGUGGAAGAAGACAUCAUCUUAAAGGAUGCCAUCUCUGUCUCGAUAGAAAACUGCGAAACAAUCGGAGUUUGGUUGUGGAAAGUGGAUUUUUUUUUCGGACAAGGAAGAGAAGAGAUCAUCAAGUGGAGAGAUCUUUCUAGGGUUAUGUUUUGUUUUUUUUUAUCUCGUGAUGUGUAACACGCGCGUUAAAUUAAUACAUUAUAACCAACCACGCGUGCAUAAUCGCGUGAGCUAUACAAAUGUUUUUUUUAAUGUAACGUGUGGCGACAAAAAUUUGCUUACCUGUAGAUAAGUAACAAAGCCACUAGACACAGAUCAAAGUACAUUGGAGUAGGCGGAUUUUAAUUUGUGUAAUAAAUAUUUUAAUACUAGAAACUUUUAUAGGAACAGCCCAAAAAGCCCACCUCGUAGUUAAAAUCAAACCAGAACUCCAAAUCAAACUCUCAAUUUUCACUAUAGGCCCAAUCCAACUAUAUAAGGCCGGCGGAUUUCUAUUUUGGGUAUUGGGUAGUUUGGAUCAGGAACUAGAGGAUCCAUUUAUCUAUUUUCGUCAUUUUUUGGUUUAGGUUCUAUAUGGAUAGUUUCGAGUUCCGUUCAGUUUAAAUAGUAAAACUUGAAACUGGAAACCCGAAAAAAUAUAGUUCUCAUUUGGCUCUAGCUCUGGUUCAGUUAGUUUGGAUAGUUUAGAUAAUUCGAAUUUUUUUUUUUUUUUUUUUAACUCAACAUCAACUUUUCAAUUCACCAACAAGGAUACAACUGAUUAUGACCUCAACAGACUUAAACCAAAUACUUUGAAGCUAUCUAGUAUUGCCCUAAGUCACUUGAUUGGACCUAACGCUACUUGAUCAAGCAAUCAAAGUAUUUUUUCGACCACACUGAGAUUGACUUCACUCCAAGACUCGAAGUGAAUCAACUCUUUGACCCCUAAAAUUAGACCUCUAGACACGACAGUACUUACUAACACAGUGGCAACAAACCUAAAUCGGCAAACAAUACAACUCAAGCUAAUGGGCCCUAAUGAUAAGCGUGACGUUCUUGGCCCAACAGCAAACUCCGCCGAAGGCGCACACCGAGAAGGACUCACUACCACCGGCUUUCACUACUCCGUUCCUCAGCCACAAAACGAACACGAAGUCCGACUGAAAGUGCGGGUUCGGAAAUGGACACGAACCGGUUUAACAGAUUCAGAAGUGUGGAGCUCGAACCGCCGGGAUGAGACCGAAGUCACUUUCCGGACGCUGGGAUGUCGACCUCCGCCACACACCGCUGCUAGGUUGACUUCUCCGGUUGACCACUCCAUCGUCGUCGCCCUUGAUGCAUGUUGUCACCGAGAACCAGUAGACAAACCUCUGUACACAAAUCGUCGGUCCUCUCCUCUGUUUUGCUCACCGCUCCGUGGGACCAGAGAACUAAGGUGGAGGAGGCGUCUUGCCAAGCCCACGCGCCAAGACCGAGAUGGAUUCGCCGUAGAUCUGAAAUUGGAAAACUAGAUCUGGCAAACCCAAACCCUAAAAGCCGACUCCCUCCCCUUCUACCGUUCGACGAGCCUCGCCGCUACUCCAAGGAUAGCCUGAGCCUUACGGCGUCGUCCACCCAAAGUGGAUCUCCGACUUGACCCGACAAAACCAGAGUCGCAAGCAUAUCGGCAAGGGAAGAGGCUUCGAGGGAGAGAGCAAAAGGAAAAAGAGAGAUAAGGGGAAGAGGAGAACCUCCGGCGCCGGAGAAGCCGGGCCGGAGUUAGGGAUUCUUUACGAUUUAAGAGAGAGGCGAGAGCUUUUGGGUUCUAGAGAGAGGUUUUUUAAUGAUAAUUCGAAUUAAAUAUUAAAUAUUUAAGAUGAAAUAUUAAAUAAUUAGGAUAAUUAGAAUAAUUAUUUUGGAUAUUUAGAAUAAAAAUAUCCGGAUAAUUUUGGGUAGUUUAAAUUUUUAUACUAAUUUAGUUUUUUUUUUUUAAAUAUUUUUGGAUACCUUUAACAUAUUCAAAAAAUAUAAAUACACAUUUAGUUAUAUUAUAUAUAUACAAUUAUUUUUUUCUUAUUCAAGUGGUCCAGUUGGGUUCGACGAUUUUGUACAUAGAAAUAUAUGAGAGUGGUCUUUUUUUUUUGAUCACAAUAUGAGAGUGGUCUGGUUCGGUUUUUUUGGGUCCGUGAGACUCUGGAAAAGUCAGAGAUUAUGAGGUGUCCCAGAGAAAAACAGCUCAGGCCUUAGAGGCCCAAUUAAAUGUUGGGCUUAAAUGGCGAAGGACAGGAGAUAACUUUCCCGGCGGUGUUAAAUGUAACACCAAACCGAGUAUAUAUAAGAGAAGAAUAAAACGUAAUCAGAUAAGGAAAUAUAAAUUUGGUGCGAUCAGAUAGAAGAUCCUUUUUGACACGUCGAAGCGAAGCCAAAGUCUCCUCCGCGUUUGUGGAGCUUUCAGACCAGACCACCCUUCGAGAACAACAAUUCCCUGUUUCUCUGGAGAUUUUUUAAAAAAAAAUACAGAGGAACGAAAACAUGAACAUCUUCUCCAAGAAACCUAAUCCCAGAGGUUCGAUUUCUCAAUUUUAUAAAUUAGGUUUCAUGUUUAUCCGAUUGAUUGAAACCUAAAUGGAAUUUGAUAUCGUCUGGGUUUGUUAAAAGCUGUUGACUUUUUUAUCUGAUGGCGUGAUCGUGAUCGUAUGUUGGAAACUGGAUUUGGUUUCGUCUGAGAUCGAGAAUCCUGUUUAUGAAACGACAUUAAUGGAAUCUGAAUGUGUUGUUGUUGUUUUUUUGGUGAAUUGGAUGCAGAAGUGCUUAGGGAGAGUAAGAGAGAGAUGACUCAAGCUACUAGAGGUAUUGUCUUGUCUUUAUAUCAAUAGCUUGUGUUACAUAUAUUCGUCUCAAACUGAUGAAAGUUUUUUUGUUUCGUGUUGUCUCCUCCUUCAGGAAUCGAAAAGGAAAUCUCAUCUCUGCAAUCAGAAGUAAUAAUGUUUUUUUAACAUUCAGUUUUUCUUUUUUUCUUUUCAAAGUACAAACAACUCUGACAUAAUGUGUCUUUAAAACAGGAGAAAAAGCUCGUUCUUGAGAUUAAAAGAACUGCUAAAACAGGGAAUGAGGUAGAGUUUCCUCCCAACCAUUCCUUCUCUGUUAAUAGCACCAUGUUUUGAUGUGUGUUCUUCUACAUCCUUUUGUUUUUUUUUUUUAAUGUAGGGAGCGACUAAGAUUCUUGCCAGGCAGCUGAUCCGGCUAAGGCAGCAAAUAGCUAACUUGCAAGGUAGCCGAGCUCAAAUGCGAGGCAUUGCUACUCAUACACAGGUCUGUUUGGUUGAAACUUAUCUCCUAAAAUAUUUUCUGUUCUAAAUUUGAGUAUCUGAAAGUUUCAAUUUGGUGUAUUAGGCUAUGCAUGCACACACUUCGGUUGCUGCAGGAAUACAAGGUGCCACUAAGGCAAUGGCAGCUAUGAGCAAGGUCUGAUUCCUUUUUUCUAACACUAAUUAAUUAAAUUUUUGUUUAGAAUUUGUUUCUAUAAUCUAACUAAGAUGUUUUUUCUGAUGUUUCCAGAAUAUGGAUCCAGCUAAACAGGCUAAGGUUAUGAGAGAAUUCCAAAAGCAGUCUGCGCAAAUGGACAUGACUGUAAGUUGUAACUAUCCUUCUUUUCUGUAAUACUAUGAUGCCACAGUCAAAGAUAACUAUUCUAACUAAUGUGUGUGGUGUUCAGACUGAGAUGAUGUCUGACUCCAUAGAUGAUGCUUUAGACAAUGACGAAGCUGAAGACGAAACAGAGGACUUGACCAACCAGGUACAAAUUCAAUACCAACCGUUUGAGUUUCUAAAAAUAUGGACUGUUUCAGAGGUUUGUUAACGAGGUUUUUUAAUGUUUUGCUUGUUAGGUUCUUGAUGAAAUCGGCAUUGAUGUCGCCUCACAGGUUUGUUUUAAAACAUCUUGUUCAUUGGUUCCUUCUCUUGAUAGCUUCACUGUGAUAUGAUUGAUUGAUCGAUUGAUUGAUUGUCUGACUAUGUUUUGAUCCGUUUGCAGUUAUCAUCUGCUCCAAAAGGUAAAAUUGGUAGAAAGAAUGCAGAAGAUGUGAGCAGCAGGUAUGGUAUCUAUCCACUAUAAAUCGUAUGUGAUUUUGUCAGCAUCUAAGUCAAACCAUCUGAUUGUUUCUGCGCAGUUCUGAAAUGGAUGAUCUGGAGAAGCGGUUGGCGGCGCUUAGAUAGAAACAAAGAAACAAGUGCCGUGACCUUGAAGAAAACGUUUCAGACCAAAAUAUUCAUUACAUUUCAAUGUUUCUUCCACAGUUUGUUUGUGGAUAUCUAUGAACAACUAAACUAAUGCUAGUGGCUAUAUUUUUCUUUGAACCUUUUUCCCAUAAGCAAUGUACAAAACCUCUUUGAUAUUGUUUUCUUCAAACAGUUUAUUGUGCGCGCCAAAAAAAGUUUGAUUGGUUGCUUCUAAUUCUAUUAAAGCUUUUAAUAAUAUAUCAUUGUUCCUUUGUGAAAACAUCAACCAAAACAACAGAAAAAUGGUUGAAUGAUGAUACCAUCUUGUGAUGAGAUUUGAUUUACAGUGUAGGAGAGUUUCAAAAGAAGACAGCAAAACCAAGAAAUAAGAAAUCUUCUAAGACCAUCUCCAUCCCCACUCCAUAAUUUACUGUAAAAUAGAGUGGAAAAUAGAAUAAUAAAGAAACAAAAAUAUGAUUACUCUAUAAAUGGAGUGAUUUUUUAUUGUUUGUUCAUACUCCAUUUUCCACUCCAUAUUUGGAGUAAAUUAUAGAGUGGUGAUGGAGAUGACCUAAUUAAAGAACAAUGUUAGACUACAAGCACCAUAUAUAAAAAAGUGCAAGUGUAUAGUUUUAAUAUCAAACAAAACAAAACAAAAACGAAAAAGAUGUGUUUUAAAUCAUCAAACUUUUAAUUUUGGUUGAAAUAAAUCACCAAUUUUGUCGUGAACAAACAAAAAACAGUCGACUUUUGUUUGACAAGCCAUUUUAAUCAUAAACUUUCAUUGACCAUAUUUUUUUAGUCAUAUAGUUAGUCAACAUUUAUAGUUAACCAACAGUAGACUUUAAAUGACUUUUAAAAUUGAUGAUUUUCUUGGCAAAAAGUAUAAAUCAACAUUUUUCUAAAAAAAAUAGAUGUUAAGUUUUAGAAUAAAUAAUUUAGUAAAUAUUUUUUAUAAAUAUAAAUAUUGAAUAAAUAAAAGAAUAAAUUUCACUAUUUUCUUCAAAAUAAAAUUUAUAUAAUUUUCAUUUAUAGUCUAAAAUAUUUAGUUAAUAUAUCAUUAGCUAAAUAAUUAUCAAAAAAUUAUAAUUAUUUACGACAGUUAUGUAACUUUUUGUAAUUAUUUAUACUGUCUUAAUUCGAUUAUAUUUCACAAUUUGUUUUCAAAAUUUUAAUUUUUUUGUAAGAUGUUAAUUUUUUUUAAUCUUAGAAGAAUAAAAUUAAUAGUAGAGGAAUUUUUCAGAAACAGAAAAUUAAUGCAGAAGGAAUCUUGAAACACAUUUAUAGAAAUUGUUUUUUGAAUAUCUGUAUUAUUAACAUAAAUAAUCAUGAAGAAUACAUCUACCAAUAACUCUUUUUGUUUGGGAAUCAAAAGUUGAAUUAACAUUUCACUAAAACAAAUUUUGACAAUAAAAUUAUAAUAAAUAAUCCAAAUAGGAUUAUAUAAAUAGUUACAAAAAUUGAUCGUAAAAUAAUUAUAAAAGUUCUUCAUAAUCAUUUUAUAACUAAAUAGUUUAGAAGAUACAUUAAAUUUAUAGAAAUUUUACUUUGAGAAAAUGAAAAAACUCCUUUUUAGUUUGAAUUAUUUCUUAUUUUAUAAUUUAAGUAUUAAUGUUAUAUUUUUUAAAUAUUUAAAAUCAAAUAUUUUAGAAAAAGUGUUGAUUUCUAUUUGUGCCAAAAAAAUCAUCAACUUUAAAAUCCAUUUUAGGCUUACUGUUAGUCAACCAUAAACGAUAGAUCUAAAAUGGUAUGAUUAAUGAAAGCUUAUGACUAAAAUGGCACAUCAACAAAAUUUGAGCGUUUUUUUUGUUUAUGAAAAAGUUGUUGCUUUAUUUCACUUAAAUUUGAAAGUUGAUAAUUUAAAUGACAUUUUUUUCCCGAAAAGCAUCCUUAAUCUUUUCUCUUUUCAUGUCCAAAAAUGUGUUUUUGGUCUAUGUAUGCUUUGUUUUCAGUAAAAAAAUAUUGUGCACCAUAAAUCUCAAAUAGUUUGAUUAUUAGAAAAUCAAAAUAAAUAAAAUCAUGUUCACAAUUUAAAAAAAAAAGAUAAUUAGGGUUGUAAGACAAAUAAAAAAAUGAUAAUCAUGUUACAUAAAUAAAAAUAUAAUAAACAAUAACAUAAGAACGUACAAUAACAAUAUGUCAAAAGAGGAAACACGAUAACAAUAAUUAAGAUAAUGCUAGUUAAAUAAUAUAUUACAACUAGGUGACUCACGCGGAAAUGGAUAUUUACGAAAAAAACUAAAUUGCAAUAGUUAUUAAUAUUUAAUUUUGUUUAGUUUAGUCUUACAUAUUUUUGUGAGUUACUAAGUUGUGAUGUUUUAAAUAUGCUUGAUUUUGAAGAAUAUUCAACUUUGCAAUGACAUUUGUUUCUAAAAUUCUAGUUUGAUUUUAAUUUAGUGCAAUUAGUUUUUAUUAUCUAUAUGGUUAUUUUAAUUAUAAUUUCAUAUUUUGUUUUUGGGUUUAUAUUGGAGUUUUUGAAUUUUUGAAAUUUCACAAAUCACUUAUAAAAUUUAUGACUAAUAAAAUUCCAAAAAUAAAAAAUGUUGUUUAAGACCAGUCUAAAAUUGCAUUAUUUAAACUUUGACUUUACAUUUAAAAGUUCUACAUUAACAUAAACUCAGUUAAAUCUACUUAGGGUGCAACUGGAUUAUAACUUUUUGGAAUGAAAUUGUUUGGAAUGACUUAUUCCUGCAGAUUCCAAAUUUUUUUUACCAUUCGAAUAGAAUAAAAAACAAAUCUCAUUCCAAUUAUUCCUUAUGGAAUGUCUGGAAAAAAAUGGAAUGUAGUUAUAAAACAUUCAUGGUUAAAAAAACUCAUGAAUAAGUGGAAUGAGUGGAAUGAAAUUCAAUUUUUUUUAUUCCAUAACUUUUCUUAUUCUAUUCAUUUACGUUCCAUUUUUUUAAUUCCAUUCAUUCAUGAUAUUCCAUAAAUUGAUAAUCAGUUACAGCCUUAAUGUUUAAGAAAACUAACUUGUGAAGACAAUACUAAGUAAAAAUUAUAUGCACCACAUUCUAAACUAAAAUCUUAUUUUAGACGGAGUAGAAAACAUUAUAAAUAUUAAAAAUUUUAGAUGACUUUGUUACAUGUUAUAACUGUUGACUUGAUAAAAUGUGUAGCCAACUAAGCUUUUGAAAUCUUCUUCUAUUAUACAGUUACUUUAUUAUAUUCACUUUGAUUUUUUAAUCUAUUCAACGACGAAUAGAUUUCUAUAACAAAAAUGGUGAAUGUGGUUUUUUACAGAGUAAAAUAUGAUUUUUAUGAAUAAGGUGGAAUUUUAGAUAUUGAAAUAUUUGUGUUGAUGAUUUAAACUUGAAAGAAUAAGUUGUUUAUUUAUAUAGAGAUAUGAACAUCCAUAUAUAUAUAUAUAUAUAUAUAUUUCUAAUAUCUUAAAAUUAAGAUAUUUCUGACUAAUUUGAUAUAUUUAUUUUAUUAAUGAGAUAUUAGAUAUUUAAUAUCAUAAGAAAACUAAUUUAACCAGCGUGAUUUAGGAUUUUUUUUAUUCAUUAAAAAACAUGUUGUACAUAUAAGAGAAAUAUAAAUUUAUUUAUAUAUUAAAUAUAUUUCCUUUUGGAUAAUAUAUUUUUGAUAUAUAAUAGAAAACAAUUAGUUUUUCUUAAAUUAUAGUGUUUAGAUAUAAUUUUUAUACUAAAGAUAUUAUCUUUUUAUAUUAUAUUUAUUUUGAUUUACAUAAAAUCGUUUUUAUUAUUUAAAUGAUUUGAAUAACAAAAAUUUAUAUAGAAAAUUCGUUUUGAGUUUUAUAAAAGGAAAUUCGAUUUUAUUAAAUAAAUGUUUUAUAUAAAAAUUAUAUAUACAUAUUUAUAAAGAUAUUGCCUCUUUGAUAAUAAAGUGAUUUGGAAACAACUAUUAACAAGAAGUUAAAUAAAAGUAAUUAAUAAUAAUAUUUUGACAAUAAAUUUAAUUCAUUAUAAGGUGAUCAUUGUAAUUAACCUUCUAAAAAAAUAUGAUAGAUAUAUCUGAUAUAAUGAAAAAAAAAAUUACUUAAACCGACAUUAAAAAAAAAAGGAAACUGCAUGUAAUUAUAUAUACUGAUUCCCCUACUCCCUGAAACUCAUUCUCAGCAAAAGAAAACAGAAACAAAGAGCACAGAUUGAUUCCUUUCCUUGGUUCUUGUUAUUUGUCAUAACUAUGCGUACGUAUCCGCGUGGUUCGCGAUUUCAACCAACGGAGUUGGGGUUGGUGAAGCUUCAUCUUAAGAACAAGGUGGAGAAGAACAUAAGCGGUUUCAUCAAAACGUUGAACGUCUACGGAGACGCGCCGUGGCUUCUCCAUCACGACACGAACCCUCUGUAUAGUAGAAACGAAUGGUACUAUUUUGUUCCGAGGAAGAUAAGAGGUGUCAGGUCAGUGAGCCGGAUGGUACCGAGUAACGGAGAUAGCUUAGGGGGCACGUGGAAAUCAGUAGGUAAGAAAAAAGACAUAAAGAAGAAUGACAAGGAGUUGAUGGGUUACAAGACGGUACUAGUGUUCAAAAAGAACGUGGCGGGGGAGUUAGAGAAGGAGAAGACUGACUGGCACAUGGAUGAGUAUUCCCUUCACAGGAAUGGUGAUGAGUUCCAUGAUUUGGUCUUGUGUCAUGUCAGACUACUUAAUAGUGACGAGAGAUUCAAACCCCAUGUCCCUACUGCUCAUCAGGUUGAUCAUGUGAAAAACGACAACAACGACGUAGUCUUACCAAACCAAGAGCAGCAAGAAGCUGGUUCUGCUAAGCAAGAUUGCAAAGGUGGCGACGUCAAUCAACCUCAGCAACAACCAGAAGAUUCAUUUAUUCUUGUAGAUCGUCAUCUGCGGAGCAAUGUCAACCAAAGACAGAAUCUAUUGGAAGAUGUUGUUUAUCCGAAUGGCCGUGGCGACUUCAAUCAACAUCAGCAACAACAACAAGACCAAGAAGAUUCACUUAAUCUUCUACAUCCUCCUUUUCAAACCAACGUUAACCAAGAACAUUAUCCAUUGGGAGAUAUUGCUUAUCAUAACGCAGAGGGUGAUAUGACUGGCUAUGGACUCAUGCCAAGUUUUAACCAAGGCAACGACGUCAAUCAACAACAAGAUUCACCAGAUCCUCUUCUCCUUCCUCCUUUGCAGCAGAGCAACGACAACCAAGAACCUCAUCCAUUGGAUGAUAUUGAUUUUGAUGAUAAUCUUACGAUUGACAUUGAUGAACUCUUGAAAAUUCUAGACGAAUGGAAAGAGCAAGAAGAUCCACCCACUCUUCCCCUUCCUCCUCCUCUUCCGAGCAAUGUCAACCAAGAACCGUGUCUCUCGUGGGAUACCAAUUUUGCCCCAUCUCAGGUGGAGAACAACUACAACAACAACAACACCGUCUUACCGAACCAAGAGCAACGAGAAGGUGGUUUUGCUAAUCAUUAUGACAUGACGAUGAUGGUAGAGAAAGAACAUGGCGACAUCAAACAACAACAACAUCAAGAGCUACAGCAAAUAGAUGUACAGAGUUUAUUCUAUGAUCCUGAGUGGGAUGAUUUGCGUUUUAGUAGUGAUUUGAUUAUGCCAAAUAUGGACGUAAGCAUGACUCAACAACAACUACGAGAACUGGAAGAAGAGAGAUUACAACUGGUGCAACCGGUUCCUCAAGGUCAAGACUCGGGAGUACAUGCGGCUCAAGUCAUGCCUCCUCCUCCUCAGAGCAACAACAACCAUGGACAGCGUCCUCUUGUCCCAUCUCAGGUGGAGAGCUACAACAACAACACCGUCUUACCGAACCAAGAGCAACGAGAAGCUGGUUUUGCUAAUCAUAACGACAUGAAGAUGAUGGUAGAGAAAGAACAUUGCGACGUCAAACAAGAUCAAGAGCAACUGAUAAAAGAUCUACUGAGCUAUCUCCUUUCGGAUGAUUUUGGUUUUGAUGGCUCAGAGGAUGGACCGAUUGCGCCAGAGCUAUUAAAACUGCUGGAACCGGUUCCCCAAGCUCAAGACUCGGAAGUCAUGCCUCCUCCUCCUCAGAGCAACGACAACCAUGGACAGCUUCCUCUUGUCCCAUCUCAGGUGGAGAAUGACAACAGCACCAACGUCUUACCGAAACAAGAAGCUGGUUUUGCCAAUCAGAAUGACAUGAUGAUGGUAGAGAAAGAACAUGGCGACAUCAAACAACAAUAUCAGCAACAACAUGAUCAAGAGCUACAGCAUAUAGAUCUACAGACUCUUCUCCUUGAUCCUGAGUGGGAUGAUUUACGUUGUGAUUUUGGUGGCCCAGAGGUUGGUUUGAUUUUGCAAAAUAUGGAGGUAAGCAUGACUCAACAAGAAGUGCAAGAAGAGAUAUUAAAACUGCUGGAACCAGUUCCUCAAGCUCAAGACUCGGGAGUACAUGCGGAUCAAGUAAUGCCUAAAGAUUGAUACGCUGAAUAUAGUUCUUGAUAUUUUUAUGUAACUCCUUUAUUAGUUGAUUUUAUUUCCGGUUAUAGGGUUUCCACAAUGGAGACUUGAACUCGUUUAAAUGUUUGUUUUAUAUCAACUUUUAUUCUAUUGGUUUUAAUGUUUGUUUCUUAGGUCUUACUGGUGAUUAUAGAACUCGUUUUAGUGUUUGUAUCAAUAUCUAGUGAUUAUAGAACUCGUUUUAGUGUUUGUAUCAAUAUCUACUGACUGGUUCUCUUACGUAUAAUUUAAAACGGAUUUAUCAAUACAUGAUCAUUAAGGUUAAUUAGCUAACUAAACAACCGGUUAUAUAAUUAGAUUAAUUAAAUAUUACAGAAUGUAUUCCAUCUUACAAAUUAGGGCUAAUAUAAGAAAAAUAGAGUGAAAAGAAAGAGAAAGUGAGAAUAGUUAUUCAGAAGAAUCUCCAGAUUGUAUAUAGAUAAUCUUCUUUGGACUAAUUUCGGUUUACUGUAACUUUAAAUUCAAUAGUUCAGGUUUAGUUUGGCACAUAUGUAGAAUAGAUAGAUAAUCUACUUGGACUCUUGACGUCUCAGCUUCCGUUCAAUUUCACGAGAUGUCGGAUUCGAGAAACAACGGUUGAUUGUAUGUUUCUCCGUACCAGCCACCGUUUGUGACGUGUCCGAUGACGACUCUGAUGAUUCGCUCUCUGUUAGAUUGUCACACACGUUAAACCAGUUAUUAGGGCUACGAAUAGAUAUAAAAGUGGAUGUGAGAGUUUUGGUUGCAUGGGAGGUUUUCACGUACCGAAUAGUGACCUAACCGAUGGCCUCUUUGCUUUUGUCUCUUUCUUCUUCAGUUCCGCUGGAAUUUUAAAAUAAAUAAACCGUAACAUUUGUUAAUUAGUGUUUUGUUGCUAACCAAGAAUUAUUUAUAAAGCAUUUAAUAUCUGUAAAAAGAUGAAGAUACCUAUCCCAGGGACUUGAUAGUCGUUGACGAUUUCGAAGUUUUUGUAUGUGUAGCCAACAAAGUUUAUGUCUUUUGAAGAUAACAUCUGCAGAGACAAAUUAAAGAGAAAGAGUGNNNNNNNNNNNNNNNNNNNNNNNNNNNNNNNNNNNNNNNNNNNNNNNNNNNNNNNAAAGAGUGUAAGUGAAGUUACGUACGAAGUUCUUGUAUUUUCGAAAUUUUCAAAUUCAAACUAUUCUCAGUAAAAAAAUUUAAAGAAGAUAAUAAGUUAAUUAUUCGAUUAGGAUGUAUAGGCUUAGUAAUAUACUAAUAUGUACUAUUGUUGUCAUUGCUUAUCAUCAUGCUUAACGCCCGUUAUGUUAUUGAAAAGGAAAGGUAAUGAAACUCGACUUACUUUUCUCCAUGGUCCUGUUCUAGAGGAGGGUGUCAGAGUUUGAUGAUCUUCCUAAACAUACAGUAAAAUAUAUAAAAAUUCAAGGACUAUCGGGCAUUAUUAGUUUAAAAAAAAGAAGCAAAAAGAUAGAACACAAACCUCAUCAAACUUCUCAAAGUUUUGAGUAUCCAAAUCAUCGUUGACCUCAGGGAUAUAAGCAGCUUCCAUUUGGUAAAUCUUUUCCCAUUCAACACCUUCGAACCAUGGAUGUGCCUGCCACAUCCAUUAACAUUCGCAGCUCGUUAGCUAUUAAUUUGAUAAAAAAUUAAACAUGUUCUAAACUUCAACUUGAACUAUUAUACAAGAAAAAAGAAGAGAAUGAUACCUUAAUUUGAGAGGCACCGAGUCGUUGGUUAACGUUACACAAAAGCUUACCAACGAGAUCUUUAGCCUCUCGUGAUAGCCUUGCUUCGUCAGGGAACUUCAAAUGUGUUUUCCAAUUCACUAUCUGAUUUAUACAGAAUCAUAAGUCUAUAACUAAUAAAUAAGUGAAACUGAUAGGAAAAUUCAAGUAAAUGAUUUAUUAAAAAGAUUGCAACCUUUCUACAAGUUGACAUUGGGUCGUCGGCGUAAAACGGUGGAUAUCCAACAAGCAUCUCGUACAUUAUGGCUCCUAGUGACCACCUAUUAAUUUCCAUACUACUUUUCAAAUACUUGAAAAUUUUAAAACUAUUAUUAACAAAGUAUAAUUAGGCACGUGUGGACGUACCAGUCACAUUCCAUGCCGUACCCUUUCUUUAACAAGACUUCAGGUGCAAUGUAGUCUGGUGUACCAACGGUUGAGUAAGCCUGCAAGUGUUUACACCAAGAAUAACUACAGCUACACACCUUACUAAAGAAAACUUCUAAUUAUAUAUAUAUAUAUAUAUAUAUAUAUAUAUAUAUAUAAUUUAGAUAAUAAAAUAUAGAUAAUAUGAUAUUGGUUUAAAUUUGUAUUUGCUUUUACAUAUUAGCAAAAGAGAGGCAAAGAGGAGUGUAUGGUACAUACAAGCAUUCUUCUAUUCUUUUGCCAAUGUUGCAACUGCUCCUGCUGCGAGCGUUUAGGAGCUGUUGGUGUGAUCUCUUCUCUCUCUAAGCCUCCUCCGGAGAAAUCUUCACCUUCAAUGACACUACAAUCCAACGGCUUACAUAGUCCAAAAUCAGACAACCUCAGAUGUCCAAUUCUAUCAAGCAACAGAUUAUCCGGCUUUAUGUCCCUGUCUCAACAGCAACAAAACAUCUCAAACACACACCUUUCUUUGUGACCAAUAAGGCAAUAAUGAACAAUGAUCCAAUACAUACCUGUGGAUAUAGUUGCGUUUAUGGAUAGAUUCAAUAGCUAGAACAGCUUCAGCCGCAUAGAAUCUAGCUUCAUCUUCACUUAAAGUGUCUUUCCUCAUCAGAAGAGUCAUCAUAUCGCCGCCAGGUAAAUACUCCAUUAUCAGGUAAAGAUAGUCAUCGUCUUGAAAAGAACAGUAUAGUUUCACUAUACAGUUACUAUCUACUUCUGCUAAUAGAUUCCUCUCUGAUCUUACAUGCUCCACCUACAAAAAUAAUGUUUCAAAAAACUUAUAAAUAAAACCACGAAUAAACGAAAUUAAAACGUUAUGUAAAACCUGGCCUCGACGUAGCAUUUCUGACUUCUUGAGUUUUUUCAUAGCAAAAACAUGACCAGUGUUCUUCUCUCUACAAACUCGAACCUCCCCAAAAGCUCCUUUACCGAUCAUAGUCAAGAGUUCGAAAUCAUCAGCACCCAUCUUAUGCCUUUGGAGUCUCAUGUACUCUGUUUCUUUCUUCUCAAGAAACUUUAAAAGAUUGUUUUGAUCUUCUUCAGAUGCAUCUGCAUCUGCUAGUUUCUUCUCAAGCGUUGUUCGUCUGCCAUAUUUAAAUAAAUAAACACAUCAAGACUAAUAUGUUUUUACAUACACGUGUUUAUUGUAUACUAUAUAGUAUAUAUACCUCUCUUUCCUCUCGUUGAGGUUCUUCAUCUGUUCCUUAUAAUGAUUCUCAAUGUACUGCUUGGCUGCCGCAACUUUCUGUUUGGUUGUACUGGAGAGUGCUUCUCCUUCUCCACCUAGAGGAGGAAGUUUCCCCGCCGUCUCAGUUUCAUUUCCUCCACCGGGGACCGUGGUUUCUGUUCCACCGCCGUAAGUGCUACCGGAGAACAUAUCUUUUUUACGAGGCUUGUCUCGAGGUUGAAACUUGUGAAACCAACUUCUUGCGGAAUCCAUAUUUUUUCUUCUCUUCUCAACCAUAAACUCUUAAUCUAAAAAGAGAGAAACCCUAAUAUUUAAAUCUGAAAAAUAACCGAAACUAAAAAAAAAAAAAAUCGUUAUGACAAGCUAAGAUGUAAUAAAACCCUAGAACGAAUUAAAACCGAUCUCCUGGGUGUUUUUUUACUGUAAGAGAUUCAACGUACCUGCGUUCAUCGUAUCUGAAAUUAAGAAAGAAGCAGAAAGAUCGGAGAUAAAGAUACGGUUGCCUAGAAAAAUAAAACAAUCGAAAAAAUAGAAAACGUCGCGUUACCGUAGAAGUUUUGAAAGCGAUCUGAUCAUAUAGAAGAUGAGAGAUUGUUUAUAUAAGAAAUAAUACAGCGCAAACUCCGUCUUAUAAUCUCCAUUUUUAGUAGGUUAUUUUGUUUGUAUAUUUAUUUAGUUGCAUAGGGAAUUGUUUACAAAUGGUUCUGAUGUUGACGAUCAUCAUUUAAUUUAGUGGUUGUCUCUACUCCCUUUACGCACUAAUUUUUCAUUUUCAAAAAGCUUCAUUAAACACACGAAUGGUUGUUAUAAAUAUGGAAAACUUGUUAUGUUAGUUAAUUUACGAAUUAAAAUGAAUAGAGAAGCCGAGAAGGUAUAGUUAUGUUUUAUUGGUCUAAUUUCUUGUUAUAUCAUGUGUGACUAUAUACCGUAUAUGAUGAUAUGUUUUUGUGUAUAAACUACAAAAUUCAAAUAAUUCAAUCGUGUAUCGUUACACUGUAUUUAAUAUAACUCUAACUCAUCAAAUUCAAUUCAGUUUGCAUGUAUUCCAACUCUGGUUUACUGGUUUAUUGAGACUAGAAACUUUCACUAGCAUGGAGCUAACUGUUUGGUAUAUAUGAUGAAUUGUGAAUAUAACAGCAUACUUGAAGAAAAUAUAUACAAUAAUUAAUUUCGAAGAAAAGUCUUAUAUAAAUAAUAUGUUAUCAUUAUUUUUUGUCUUGGGGUGGUGGAGUUUGGAGAAAAAGGGACAUCGAAGUGGAGAUGAAAAGGAAAUGAAAGUCGGAUUAAAUAAUAUCUUCUACUCCACUACUUAAGUUACCAACAGAAUCUUUUUAUAAGCAUUAUGAUGUUGAGAUCUCAACCUAAACAAACUUCACGACAUAACUCUCUUCGUCCCACGUCGGCAACCAGAUACAGAGCCGGCCCUUGGUAGAAACAAAAGAAGCACUUGCUUCCAACCUUUUUUUUAUCAAUUAUUUUCGGCCAUAUUUUGCAAUAAAUUUCUCUUAGUGUAGCGGUAAUUACUUGUCUUAGCUUUGUCAAACAAUCCAGGUUCAAAUCUUGUUGUGGGCAUUUUAACUUUUUCUUUUUUUUUCCUUCUAAAAGUGGCCAAAUUUUUUUCUUUGCUUCUAGUCUUUAAAUUUCUAGGACCGGCUCUGACCAGAUAUAUCAGAUUAAUGUCUACACACCCACUUUUCCACAUAAACUAAUGGAAUAAUUCACCAAAAAGGAGACACCGAUUCCCACCGGCUCCUGAUUUGUUCCAAUGAUCAACAUCAGUUGUUAGCAAUGAUCAUUACAUCUAACAUUUUGAGACAACUGAUUUUCUCUAUUAUGUUGAUGUUUGAUAAUCAGUUUUCAAUGAAAAUACUGUAGCAUACUACAUAUUCUUCUCAUCUUAGAACACAGUCCAUAUCUAGUUCCCAAAAUCAAGAGUAUGUAUUGCCAUUUUGUUACAACAAGGCUUAAUAAACUGCAAACAUCGUAUUCUCCGGCCAAACUCCAAUCAGUUUAUCGCCUGUAACGGUGUCGUUUGAAGUUGAAGUACAGAUGCAAAAUCCCACGCUCAAACGUGCAUUUGAAACCUUUCUUGUGAGAAUAUUCCCAUUCCUUAUUCACAAUCCGGAACGCCUGCAAAACAAAUUGAUCACCAUGAUAACACAGAGGUGAUGGUUAAAAACAAUACAGAGGUGAUGGUUCUGAAAGUACUCACAAUGUCUUCAUAAGGCGGACCAGCAUGGAACCGGAUCAUACAAGUUUCGGAGCUUGUCCCAUCUUUUUCUAUAGUGAACGUGGGAGCCUUGAUCUUAUCUACUAAAUCUGGAUAGAAGAUGUUGAACUUGUACCCUUGAACGGUUUUUGGAGGCGGGUUAUCGUGAUCAUAGUGAGUCUGGUUGUACUUAUUCCACUCGUAACCUGUGUGGACUCGGUUGAAGUACUUUGGUUUUCUUGGCCGGUACUUGUCAUGCCACCAGUAUACCUAUAUUGAAGAAGACUUCUUUUUCAAUAUUACCACUCUGGGAAGAACAGAGACGAUUAGUGAUAUAGCAAAAGGGGUACCUCAGAAUCAAGGUUCACUUCAGCUUUAGAGCCAAAUACAGCAUCUCCUUCUUCCAUUGCUCCCAUUGCUUUCAUUGCUUUAAACUCCAAGUUAUCUUCCACAGGUGGUGGUUUUGAGACCAUAGCUUCUUUGAUCCGCUUCUUCUGUUUCUCCAACACAACCAUCCGUUUCAAUUCCUGUUAUAGUCACAAUCAUAUUUUAGGUCAGUAAAAGCAUCAACGGCAAACAAUUCAUGGGCAAAAGUUGAUUGUAGGAACAGUUAAAGAGUACCAGUAGCUUCUUGUCUUCCUCGGGAUCGAUUGCUUCUUCACGAUCAUCACCGUGCAUGAGCUCUGGCGAAAACGAACCAGCCGCUUCUGUUUCCACAUAAGCAUCUUCUUCUUCCUCCGCAAUAGGCUCUGGAGAGAAUGCUUCUUCAGAGUCGGAAUGAUUCAUCCACACGCAGAUACCUUUGCCUUGUAUAUAUCGAGGCGUUUAAGAACCGCUUCCCAAUACUCUACUACUUUCGCUGACCCAGAACGCAGCUGGGACUCGAUGUCCAACUGCAGUUCUACAAGCUCCGAGUGGGUCUUCCCAUCAAGAAGUUUUCUCACGUCAGCUUCAACACCAGCGUGUAGUCCCCUCUCUUGAGCAAGCAAUUCUGCAGGAGGCUCCUCCCCUCUAACUCUAGCACGGUCCAAAGCAUCCCUUUUACGAGCUUCAGCUAACUCCCAAUCGCAUACCACAAUAAGUGCCUGGAAAAAUUCAAUGGUAUUAAGUACACAAGUUUACUCCAAUGCAUCAUGCAUGUAUACGUGGAAUAGCAUCAACAAGAGUCAACAUGUGGGUCCAUACAAGGUAUCAAAAUUCUACACAUGCACAAUCACUUCAAACCUAUGAACCACCUCGAAUGCCAAAAUUGAGACUCGUUGAAGAAAAUACCUCCCAAUACUGUACGCGUGUUGGAGUUGCCCGAUCUGAAUCCAGAUACAUUUUGAUAUCAUCACGAAGCUCUUCCAUAUCUUUAACACUGAGUCCCUGCAUUACACAUAUCAAGUGUACGUUAAUUUUAGUAAAAAAGCGUCACAACAAUACUCUCUCAUUGUUCACUAAAAGAGAGCAACCACAGAUCUUUGUUUAACGAGAGAUCUACACUCGAUUUCAAAAGCAAUUAAACCAGAAUCAUUCUCACAUUCUGCUUCCCCAUUUUUAAUCAAAACUUUUACACUAAACGACAUAGAGGUCGUCUAUGCUGAGCUCAGAUUUCGGCCAAUAUCCUAAAUAUAUAUAUAUAUAUAUAUUUUUUUUUUUGGGAUCAGUUAGCUGAUGCAUAUGUUGGUUACAUUUACAAGAGAUACCCUUAAAAGUAACCAACAAAGUGCUACCUAAACAUCUAAGUUGCUAAUGGCUCAGACUUGCAGAAAACUUAUCUAAUCUGAAGCUUCUUCCCUCUCUCCACAACCCAACUGGUUCCAAAGACUGAAAAUAUUAUGGAACUAACCUAACACCGACAAAGUAAAGACCGAAGUGAAAAAGCUCUACCAUACUUAAACACGAUAUGGUUUUACCAUCUAGCAACAUCUUUGUAAAUACCUUGAAAACCAUGUAAGGUUCACUGAGCUCGAUAUCCAUAUCAUCUGAACCAUCCAAGUGCUUACAGAGCACGUCAAUAGGCUUCAGUCGCCCUUCACGCAAUCUGAUCUCUGACCUCACCUUGCUUUGAUCGAAAUGGAACUGUGGAUCAAACAUAUAUAUCAAGGAACGUACGCCAAGCUAAUAUUCAAGAGGAUCAUUUGCAAAAACAAAGAAAACGCAAUUAUACCUCCUCCUCCUUCUUCUCCCAAUCUUGAAACUCCGCUCGUGCACGUUCUCUAGCCAAUAAUGCCUGCAGAGAAUAACAUUUUUAGGUCGAUAGCUAGACAGUAAUAACCAAAUUAGAAAGCUAGUUGGUUACUAAAUUUAAUCGUAUGCAUCCUCCUGGACGAAAUGAUUUUGUGAAAGAGAUAGGCCUCACAUAUGUUUUCAACAUGAAACAAAAGUUACCAUUUCUUCCUCAUGUCGAGCUUUCUCCACUGCUCUCUCUUCUCUCCUCUUCUUAACCUUUUCAACCUCUGUCUGCACAUUCAACCAAAGUGAUUAAUACAUAGACCAGAAAGCUCAUUCCACUAAACAAAAUAACACAUAUUUAAUCGAGAACAUAAAAAUCUCAUCUCCUCUUUUCUUAUUUUGUAAUCAAGAAUGCUUAUUGUACUUACCAUUCUUUCUCCCCGUCUUCUCUUCUCAGCUUUAACCGAAAACUCCUCCAACGGUACUCCAUGGUGAACAUCUUUUUCAAUUUUCUUCCGCCACACAAAUCUGAAAUUAAUAGAAUUCCACGCAUGAGAACUGCAUACUCUUCAGAACCGGUUACUCAGAAGGUAAAAAUCGAUUACAUGCAAUCAAGAUAACAAACUUAUAACUGCCAAUUGAACUAAUAGAGAAAAAAGAAGCUGCAUCUUAUGAUUACGUACUUUGUCUAUGUUACAACUAGGAAUGAACUACAUACUCGAUAAUCCUCCUACAUCCAAUUCUCCAAGUUAUUUAUACCAGUAAACUCAGAAAGGAAAAUAAUCAUCUAACCAUUUUCUUUAAAAGUGAUUUCACUUACGCCUCAGUGAGAUUCGAAUCCCCAAACGGGUUUGAAUCAUUGGAGUACCCAGACACUGACUGAGUCUUCAGUUUCUUUGCUGCACGUAAUGCCUACAAAGAAUUAAACAAAUAGCAUAAAAAAUUAGUAACAGGUUCCAACACAUAGAAGAGUUUAACACAACAAAGCACGCAGACAAAGUAACACGAAGAAACCUUCUUCUGAGCCUUUCUGGCGAUAUACUCCUUGAUUUCUUCCUCUGAAGGCUUCCUAGACGAAGUUCUCUUCUUACUCUUCCGUCCACCAUCGCUAUCAGAAGAAUCAUCGCUUGAAUGAUAGCGUCGACGACUGCUGCUUCUGCUGCUGCCCUUCCUCCUCCUGGAGCUCCUGGGCGGGGACGAACCGUCCGAGUCAGAGGAGUAAGAGUCGGACUCAGACUCAGACUCAUCUCUCCGCUUCUUCUGCUUUGCGUAUCUAUCUCUGUCUCUGCUACUCUUACCAUGAGAACCCAUAUUUGAAACAGUAUCCCUCUGUCGUCGAAAGAUAAAACAUAUAAUCAAUCAGUCGCUCACACUUAAUUCACAAUAAAGAAUAUUCAAAGAGAGAGAGUCCCUCGAAACGAACAUCUAAACCAAUCCAGAUAACGCGAUUCAGCUAAAGCGAAAAAUAAAAGCUCCUUGUUGAACGACUUUCACCACUAGUAAGGGAACCUAAGCGAAACUAUCGAGCCAGAACACAGCGUACAGAGAAGAGAAAACGCAUACCUAAAUCGGAAACGAAGAUUUGAAAUCAGUGGCGGUGAGAGGGUGGUGGAUACGGUGACGAAGGUUGUAGAGACUUCUCCUCCCCGAUAACUGAAUCGAAAAUAGAUAUUGGAAAACAAAGGGGGGGAGAUUUAACGAGUUCGGUUAAUGGAAAACCGGGAGAUUCUAGAAGUUGUUUACCAAAAAUACAAUCAUGUGGAACCAAUCACCCGGUUAAGAGAAAACCGGCCGUUGAAGAGACUUAACGACGGGUUACCAGAAAAUUGGCCAAAUAUAUGACGAAUCAAUCGGAUUUAAGUAUUUUAACUAACCAGCAUUAACACCGAUUAAAGCCAUGACUGCUUAUAAUUUGGAACAAGUAACAAUCUUUUUAUCUGUAAACUUAUUAUUACUUUUUUUUGUCACUGAUCUGUAAACUUAUUAAAUCUCAAGAUCCAGCAGAUGUAAUAAAGAUGAUUUGAAAAGGAAAAAAAUAAUACAACAGGAAGUGUUGGGAUUACAGAGAAAACGCACAUCAGUUUACCAGUAAACAUACAAUAUAUUAAGGAAAACUCAGGUUGCUGUGUGUCUUGGUGUCUAGUGUCUUGCCUCUAAUGUCUCUUGCUCUCAAGUCACAAGAAGAUGAAGCAGGACGGGUCCAAGACCUUAGAUAUUUCACACUCCUUUGUGAUCAGAAAGCUGCCCAUCCUGCAGCUCCUGUCGAUCCUGAACCCUUUGUUGAAGGAAGAUUCUUCUGCAGAGCGAGUACACACCAAAAUGGAGGAUUCAGUGGUUCAAAUGUCGUUUUUGGUUGAGUUAGAUGCUAUUAGGACGAAAGGGUUUGCUUACCUUGAGCUGAGAUAGAUCAGACAGUGGAUCGUUCCUGCGCCUUGUGUUAUCCGUUGGUUCCUUAGAACCACCAGAUGCGAUCCUUGAAGCGAUAGGAUCAUUUGGUGGAGGCGGUAAAGGAGACCUGGUUUUUGUAGAAGCACUUGGUGGUGGAGCAAGUGCUAGAGGUUUAGGCUUCCCGUUCCCUGAAAGAGCAGCUGAGAGCAUCCCAGUGCCACUUGUCGUUGGUUUGGGCUUCACGUUGAUUCUUAUGGUUUCACCUUCCUUCAAACCCAAUCACAAAAAACAUUCUUUUUAGCUUCUACUGAGUUAGCAAGAGAUUGAAUCCACAGUUCAGUUUCAAAAGCAGAUAAACUAAUAUGAGUAAGAACUCAACAAAAUCAAUGUCUACUACUGGGAACAGAUGCUAGAACAAACUUGUGAUCCUGAACCAUUAAUGAAAAAGACUCAACGAGCAAAAAUGAGAACUUUUGCAGCAUUCAAUUUGAUUCCACGACUUAUAACCCAGGACAGGCCCUCAAAAAACUCCAGUCACAUCAAAAACAAUUCUUUUUUCUUUUAAAUAAAGACUAUAGCCUAAGGAUCCGGUCGUUCAUAGUGAGUACGAAGAUUUGCCAGAAUAUAAAAGUGGGACAUUCUCUCGUUUAUGCAACAAAGUAUGAUAAGAGACUAACACUUGGUGACAUUACCCAUUCAAUCUAAAUACUACCAAUUACACUAACAGUGUAAUCCAAAGACACAUCUUUAAGCCUACGAACAAGAGCAGAUCUACUAGCAAUGCCAAUGACGCGACAAAAGGUAUCUGAAUGAAUCAAUUUCAUAUUAAAUUUAGCAGCUUUACGCAUUGAUCUUAUCUUAAUCCCUAAAGCUUAUGAACAGAUCCGCUUACCUUCAAUCUAUGAUUAACAGCGGGAUGAAUAUCAAUAUGAUCAUCACUCUCACUCGUCUCCCCAGCCUCCUUCUCCUUCUCCCUCCUCACAUACUUCUCAUGAUCCGACAACGCCACGUUGAAAUCAAACGCCUCGUUCCUCUCCGCGAACCCCAGCCCGAUGAACGCGUACUUCCCACGCCCGUCGUCGAUCCUCAGCACGAAAUACCUCGACGAAUCCAGCGACGGCUCCACGGAGUUCUCUCUCCUCGCGGGAUCCACGAAACACGCCGCGAACAGGUCGCCGGAGCUCGAGUCCUCGAGGCGGAUCUCGCAUCGGUCCUUGCAGGAGACGACGCGGAGCCUGCCGGACCAGAUCUUGUCGGACUGGAGCCAUUCGCCGCACUUGUACCCGCCGGAGGUGGUUCGCGGCGGGAUCUUGUAGACGGAGACCUCGCGCACCACGAGGAGCGUGUGCUCGAAGGUCUCCUCCUCUUCUUCCCCCUCGAACGACAUUGGAUUCUCGGAGAAGAAUCUGUGUGACCUCUGCUGAGACGAGAGUUAUGGAGAAAGACGUGUGUGAAGGUUUGACGAUCGUUGCGGACUUUUGAAGCAUAUACGAACCUUUUUUUUAAAUUUAAUUUAAUUUAAUGAAUUAUUUCUAUUUGGUAAGUCUUACCAAUAUCCUUAAGAGAUUUAAUUAAGAGAAAAAGACUAGGAUAGCACCAAACCAAGUUUAUGUUUCCAAAGUAGCACUCAAGGUUCAAAGUCACAAAAAUAGGUUUCAUUAAAGAGGUAAAUAUACACUUAUACCCCUUGGGUUAAGUAAUCCAAACCUUAGGGUUUAGAGUUAAGGGGUGGGGUUUUGGAAUUAAGGUUUAAAAUUUUAUAAAAAAAAAAUAUAAAAUAAAAAAUAAAAAUUUUAAAAACAGUUUUAAAAAGAAUUUUUAAAUUAUAAAAAGAAAAUUUGAAAAAAAAAUAAAAANNNNNNNNNNNNNNNNNNNNNNNNNNNNNNNNNNNNNNNNNNNNNNNNNNNNNNNNNNNNNNNNNNNNNNNNNNNNNNNNNNNNNNNNNNNNNNNNNNNNNNNUAUAAUCUGAAACUAUAAAAAAAAAAAAAUCUUUUUUUCAUUUUUUUAUUUUUAUUUUAUUUAUUUUUAUUUAUUUUUGUUUGUUUAUUUAAUUUUAAAUCAAGGGUAUUAGGAAUAUUUUACUCUUUAAUGAAUGUCAUUUUUGUGACUUUCUCCUUCUAGUGCUAUUUUUGAGACAUAAACUUCAAAAGGUGUUAUUAUUGACAAUUGCCCUUUAAUGAAUGUCAUUUUUGUGACUUUCUCCUUCUAGUGCUAUUUUUGAGACAUAAACUUCAAAAGGUGUUAUUAUUGACAAUUGCCCUUUAAUGAAUGUCAUUUUUGUGACUUUCUCCUUCUAGUGCUAUUUUUGAGACAUAAACUUCAAAAGGUGUUAUUAUUGACAAUUGCCCUUAUUACUAUUUGGUAAGUGUUACCAGAUAUUUUGUAAUAUUCUCAUUUUGAAAUUUCAAAAUUAAAAAAUUUCAUAAUAUUCUAAAGAAUCCCAAAUUUAUGUAAUAUUAAAAAAAUGUGAGUAAUUUAAUCAAUUUUUAAAAGAAUGCUAUCAGAUAUUUUGUGUAGAUAUUUUGUGUUUUUAUCGGAUUAAUAGUAUCAGAUCGCGGAUCAAUAGUGAGUUUUUGGGUUUUUACCGGGUUCUAUUGGAUUUUUAAUUAACUAAUUUUUCAUUAAAUUUGAACCGGAUUAUGUAUAAUGUAUUGGGUUUAUAGGUUCAACGACGAAUGUAGGUCGGAUAUAAAAACAAUUCUUAAAACUCAAACAUCAUUAUAGAACAACUAAUAUAUUUCGAACAAAUACCAAAUUUUGAAGAGAAAAUAAAUGAUAAAAAUCAAAAAAUUCAAUUGUUAUGGUUCGAAACAAAAAUAAUGGUAGUUUGUAAAUCAGUUUUCGAUCUAUAAAUGAAAAACAAAUCCGCGAUUUCUAAUCGCGGAUCAAAAUCUAGUUAUAAAGAUUUAAUAAACUUAAUCUUUAUUAAUCAACUUAAUCACAAAACGAUGCCGGUUUAGCGGUGGACCGCCUUAUGUUAAACGAUGCCGUUUUUGCGUUUUUUUCUUUAUCAACCUUGUUUCCUCGCACUUUUAUAUCUCUCUUGUUGGCCUGAGAGGAGUCGAAGGAUAACAAUUCGAUAAACAUGGCGACGGCUUCAGGUACCGAUUCCAAUCAGAUUUUUCUUCUACGAUUCCAUUAGAUCUUCUUGAAAGCUGGGUUCUUGAUUUAGUUUUGAAAUUUCCUUUGCUGGCCAUGAAUCGCUGUUAUGAUAAUCUGAUUUCGUAUAUUGUAAUCAGAAAUUUAGGGCUUUUGGAUUUUUUUUUCGUAUCGUUGGUUCUCUUUCUCGUUAGGUUUUAGUUAGAUCAAGUAUUCUUUAUAGAGAGUCUGAUUUAGAGUAUUAGCUUUGGUAUCGUUGGUUCACUAUGUUCUCUGAUUUAGGGUUUCUUGUAGUUCCACUGGUUUUGAUUUUGGGUUUUUUUUGUUUGCAGUUGCUUUUAAGUCUAGGGAAGAUCAUAGGAAGCAAAUCGAGUUAGAGGAGGCUCGUAAAGCCGGGCUUGCACCAGCUGAGGUAGAUGAGGAUGGAAAGGAGAUCAAUCCUCACAUUCCUCAGUAUAUGUCCUCUGCUCCGUGGUAUCUCAACUCCGAGAAGCCGAGUUUGAAGCAUCAAAGGAAGUGGAAGAGUGAUCCCAAUUACACAAAGUCAUGGUACGACAGAGGUGCUAAGAUCUACCAAGCCGAAAAGUACCGCAAGGGAGCAUGUCAAAAGUAUAUGUCUUUCUCUGAUUUUGAAGAUGUUAGAGUUUGCUUUUUUUUUAGUUUUGGAUUUGUUCAAGUUUCUAACUUUUUAUUUUGAAGCUGUGGUGCAAUGACGCAUACUGCGAAGGCGUGUAUGGAUAGGCCUCGCAAGAUUGGAGCGAAGUACACGAACAAGAACAUUGCGCCUGAUGAAAAGAUCGAGAGUUUUGAGCUUGAUUAUGAUGGCAAGAGGGACAGGUGGAAUGGGUACGAUCCUUCUACUUACCAUCGUGUGGUAGACCUUUAUGAAGCAAAAGAGGAUGCGCGGAAGAAGUAUCUCAAGGAGCAGCAGAUUAAGAAGCUAGAGGAGAAGAACAAUAACCAGGAAGGCGAUGAUGCAACCAGUGAUGGAGACGAAGAAGAUGAUGACUUGAGGGUCGAUGAAGCUAAGGUUGAUGAGAGCAGGCAGAUGGACUUUGCAAAGGUUGAGAAACGUGUUCGGACAACUGGUGGUGGUAGUACAGGAACUGUAAGGUAUGGACUACUCUGUUUCUAUAAUUAUUAUCAUAUGUUUAUUUGAGUGUGUUUUUAUUUGAUGCACUAAUGAUUUAACCUUUUCUUAAUUCAGGAAUCUGCGUAUCAGAGAAGACACAGCGAAAUACCUGUUGAACCUUGAUAUCAAUUCGGCUCAUUAUGAUCCUAAAACUCGAUCCAUGCGUGAAGACCCACUCCCAGAUGCAGAUCCGAAUGAUAAAUUUUACUUGGUUAGUUGUAGUUCAUCGUUAUUGUAUCUCAUAUUAUGGUAAUCUAAGAUACUAACCAUAUUUUUGCUUAACCAUCUAUCCAGGGAGAUAAUCAAUAUAGAAACAGUGGCCAAGCUUUGGAGUUCAAACAGAUGAACAUCCACUCAUGGGAAGCGUUUGACAAGGGACAGGACAUGCAUAUGCAAGCUGCUCCAUCCCAAGCUGAGCUGCUCUACAAGAAUUUCAAGGUUGCAAAAGACAAACUGAAGACUCAUACGAAGGACACAAUCAUGGAGAAGUACGGGAACGCUUCUACAGAAGAUGAAAUCCCAAUGGAGCUUUUGCUUGGGCAGAGCGAAAGACAAGUUGAGUAUGACCGAGCAGGGAGGAUCAUAAAGGGACAGGUACGGUUUAUGAUGGUUUACUUCUUAACAUGUGGUAUGUUGUGCUUUUGUGUGGAUUCAUUUCAUUCUUAUACAUGUUGUUUUGUACACAGGAGGUUAUACUGCCAAAGAGCAAAUACGAGGAAGAUGUUCUCGCUAACAAUCACACGACUGUUUGGGGCUCGUGGUGGAGAGACCAUCAAUGGGGAUAUAGAUGUUGCCAGCAGACGAUUCGCAAUAGUUACUGCACAGGCUCUGCUGGUAUUGAGGCUGCAGAGGCUUCCCUUGAUCUGAUGAAGGCUAAUAUUGCUCGCAAAGAAGCCUGUGAAGGUUAGUGUUGUUGACUCUGUUUGCUGUUCAGUUCCGUAUUCUGCAUAUGUUUUUGUAAUGUUGUUUGCGUGUGCUAACAAAGCAAAUGAAUGGUGUUUUGGUGAUCAGAGAGCCCAAAGAAGGUUGAAGAGAAGAAGAUGGCCGCAUGGGGAACCGAUGUUCCUGAAGAUUUGGAAUUGAACGAGGAGGCACUUGCUAAUGCUCUUAAAAAGGUAAGAAGGCCGUAGACUCCGUUUAUAUUUCUCUUCUGUCAAAGACGUUUUUAUGUCUUGUAGACGUAUCUGAUACGCGUACAAUAAUGUGCAGGAGGAUGAGCGUAAGAGGGAGGAAAAGGAUGAGAGAAAGCGCAAGUACAAUGUCAAAUACACCAACGAUGUAAUUAUCUUACCACUCUAAUAGCAUCGAAUCACAUUCUUAAACUGAACUGUUGCUAAUUAAAAUAUCACAUUUUCAUCGCAGGUGACUCCGGAAGAGAUGGAAGCUUACAGAAUGAAGAGAGUUCACCACGAGGACCCAAUGAAGGAUUUCAUGUGAAAAAAUGUUUCUCCUGUUUUUUUUUUUUAACCGGAAGAAACUUUAUUACAUUUGUCUCUGUUUACUCGCAACACUUAUGGUGGAAAUAAACUAAAAUGUUGUCACUAAAGCUUUUGUGAAAGUUUGGCUAUUGCUUGCAUCCUUAUUUAUUUCUCUGGAAACUCUACCUAAAUCAUAGGAAGCAUAUAAGCUUAAGAGAUUAAUUAUGAUUUUAUUCUAAUUAACAAAGAUAUAUAAAUUAAAGGAGAAAGAUUAACUAUGAUUUUAUUCAGUAAAGCGUUACAUGCCUGUGUCAACGAUCGCUUCUAUACGACGGUCGUUGUUGUAAACUAGGCGUCCUUAAAAACUCAAAAACAAAACAGCUGCCUUAAAGCGUAGAACUUCUUUUGUACAUUAUUUUUUAUGACAAACCGUACAAAACCGAACAUUCAAACGCUGUUACAUCACUAACUCAUGCUUCAAGCCUCGACUCUAGGCAUACCGUAGCCCAUAGGACCACUGCUUUGAGUCAAUGUGGUCUCAAGAGUGCUGAACUUAACACUUCUAGCUUCUUGGGGUGAGAUCUGAUACCCGUUGGAUAUAACCUCAAGUGGUAAACCUCUCAUGACUGAGGUGCGUCCCGCGAGUGUGUUGAUCUGUGCGUUGUCGUUGCUCUUGAACUCGAUCCACUGGAACUGUUGGCUUGUGGCACGUUUCACGACCGCGAAGCCUUGUGGCACGACAAGUAACUGUCCCUGGGAGAUCUCUUGGUCAAACACUCUUUGUCCGUUGUCGUUCACCAUCUGUAUAUGAGCCUUCCCCUUUGUCACGUAGAGUGCCGCGUUUGCGUUCACGUUCCAUUGCGGCAGCACCAUAGCGUUCUGCCGUUAUUUAUCCAAAUUGUGAAAUUAAUUAUUAUUAUUUUGGAAAAAAAAAUGUCAGCACAAAUUUAAAUAAAAGUUUCGUGGGGGUUACGUUAUGGAUGGAGCCACGAAGAGCGCUAAGGCGGAGGAAUCUGAGGAUAGGGAGGUUGUAGCUGUUGAGUGUGCUAAUGUAUCCGAGCGAUGGCUUGUAGACAUCAGCACUUGACGGGUCAUCAAGGUUUUCGGUGCAUCUCAUUGUGCACAAUGUCUCCUCCAAACCAUUACCUUCUUCCUGUGGUUGCUGACCGCCUUGGCCUUGUCUCAAGGGUGGUCUAAUGACGCCGAAUUGACCUUGGACCUUGACGAUGUUGCCACGGUUGACUUGCUGGUUUUGGAGCUUUUGAGCUGUCUCGACGCUGAUUUUAAAGGCUUGAGCCAAGAUCUGAGGUGCGAAGCCAUUGAAGAUGUUGUUUUGUUUUUGUUGCUGUCGGCCUUGUAGCCAUUGCUGUCCUUGUGGGUUGUUUCCGGCUAUCAAAAAGGGCUGCAGGUAAACAUAAAAAUAUGAUUAUUAAUCUUUAGGUUAAUUAUNNNNNNNNNNNNNNNNNNNNNNNNNNNNNNNNNNNNNNNNNNNNNNNNNNNNNNNNNNNNNNNNNGUGGGGGGGGGGGGGGGAAUUAAAAGUGAAGAUUUAAACCUAAUAUAUGUUAAUCAUUUGAGUUUAUCAAUUUAUAAAUCGAUUAUAUUCAAGAAUAUAAACUAAGAACAACGAGCAGAUAUAUCAAUGUUCGAGUCCUAUAAAUUUUCUUUUUUUUUUAAUACUAACUAUCAUGUUAAUACUUUGUUUUCUAUAAAAAGUAGUUGAGGGCUAACCAAAAAAAAAUUAGUUUUAUUCUCGAUAAGCAAAAGAAAAAGAACUAUUCCAACCACAAACCGAAAAAUGUUCACUCUUUAAGGAAAAAAAUCGUUUUCGUGUUUCUUUUUUUGUUGUUAGACUUACUCUGAGGUUGCGGUCAAGCUGGUUCAGGUUAUUUGCGAUGUCAGCGGCUGCAACAAGAAUGAGAGGCUCAUUUCCAUUGUUGUAGAACCAUUGAGCUACACCAGGUGGUGUCGCUAUGGUGUCACCGCACCGUAGGUGCUCUACUUUCUGGUGCAUGUCACGGAAACCCUGGCCUUGACCCUGACCCUCCUGACCUUGUUCCUGGCUCUGUCCUUGUCCAAAUACAGGAGAGUCCAUGAAUGUCUCGGCGCAUCCAGGAGUCACUUUUCCCAUUAGACCAUGUCCUGUUUUGUUGCAACAGGAAAACAUAUUAUUCAAAACAACUAAAAAAAUGAAAUUAGAAUGAUCAAUCCAAAUGAAACAAAAAUAAACCGAUCUGAACCGGAGAAUAACUUUUCAUUUGGUUACCGUACGUAUAGUCUUAACUUAAAAACAUCAGAAGAACAAACCAAAAGUUUACACAACUAACCUCAAACUUAUCACUUUAACAAAAAAAAAAAACCCUCAAACUUAUUCUAAUAAUCAAACCAGUUUUAUGUUGACUAUUAUUUUUAUAGUAAAAUUAAAUAUAUACACACACAUUUUAUUACCCUUAUAGAUUUGUAUAUUUGAUUUUGUAGGUUACUAUUAUUCAUGAAAUAGAAAAUUAUAUGAAUAAAAAAACAUACAGAAAUUCUGGUAACACACUAUAAUUAAAUAUAUGGAUCGACGAUAUAUUAGUUAACGGAAACGCACCGUGAACGACGAACGUGAGUUUGCCGGCGUUCAAGAAAGUGGGCAAGUAAAGACCCUGAGGCUCAAUGACGAAACGCUCAAAGGCGAAGCCAGAGCAACGGAGCUGAGGUGCAUGGUGGUCCCAGACCUCAAUGCGACCACCCUCACUCUUGAUGAUCUGACUCGGCUCGAGUGCAUUGAGUUGGUCGAGCUGGCACUCGUUGGGCCACUGCUGAGCAGUGAAGCCAUGGAAAAGGGCCAAGAAUGUGAAAAAGAAGGAGAUAAGAGAGGUUGGACCCAUCUUUUUUUUUUUACUUUAAUUGUGAGUUAAGGCUUCUACAUUUGCAUGCAUGGAGUUUCGGUAUUUAUAGGAGAUUUUUGGUUGUGCAGCGUGCCUUUGACAUCAUAAUUCAGUCCUAAUUUAUUUAUCCUAAUUCUGUUAAAAAUAGAAGAAUCAACGAGGUUCUAAAAGUAUUAAAUGGUUUCGGCUAAAACAAAUUAAUAAUAUGAUUUGGUUGGUUACAGUUUUCGUUUAGAUACUUAUCAAAAAAAAAAGUUUUCGUUUAGAUCUUGCUUUUUAGGGAAUAUUAAUUAAAUUUCGCAAGGAAAUGUGUUUUCUAUUUUCUUUCAGUGAGGUCUUAGUUAUAUUUCUAUAUGAUCUAUCGAGGUUUUAGAAUAUAGUUUUGGUAAGGUUUAGGUUUAAUACGGAUCGAAUUAAUGAAAAUAGGUACCGCUAAUCGGAAUGACAUUCAACAUGCACUAUGUUUUUUUGUUUAUGCAUUAGUUAGGGGAUCUUCAUCCCAACUCCACUUUUUCCUGUAAAAUGGAGUAAAAGUGGAUAUAGAGUAAGGAAUGCUCCAACUCAACUUCAUAUCUCACUCUAUAAUGAAAUUUACUUCAUAAAUGGAGUAGUUUAUUUUUUGUUUGUUCAUUACUCUAUAAUGGAGUGGAAAAUGGAAUAGGAUUAGAGCAAUUUUACUCUAUUUUCAUUUUUACUCCAUUUUAAAGGAAAAUAUGGAGUUUUACAUUGGAAAUGCUCUUAAACUUGUUUUUCGAGUAGAAUACCUUAUAACACUCUGGCAAAUUAGCUUUUAUAACACACACACACACAUAUUUCUAUAAAGUAAUGCAAUUCCCGUUGUUGAGAUUAAUUAGUAUGUUAUGUUAACUUCGAAAUUAUUACGGUUAUUCCAAUCAGGUGAUUAAUCACCAUGUAAUGUCUUACACUGAAAAUAAAAUCUGACGCUGCAGAUUAUGUAUUCUCUCUUUUGAAAUCAUUUAUCGUGGAUGAAGAAAUAUGAAAUAAUUAUUACGAGUGAAGAUGAGAAUUAGGUGAGCUUAUGAGUUGUGAAUGGAGAGAGUAGACACAUUUCAAGUUGCAUGGCACAUCAAAGUGCAUGUUCUUACACAUCAGCUUCGAUGUCAUAACAUUUUUAUUUUACUCAAGUAAACACGUGAGAGCCACGUGAUGAUGUGGCGGACGCGACGAACCGAGCGUGACGAGUGUAUGGCUGCAUGCUUGCUCAGGUGCCACCACUUGGAUGCUUCUUUCUAAAACUUGUUCCGUCUUCUUCUCCUUUAGUAGGGGAAACUUGUUCAUCCAUUUAAAGAUGGUAAUGUCUGGGCCACAUUUAUAAAUCAGUCCAUUAUAAGCAUUCCACACAGACCAGAGCUAAACCCACAUUCGAGGCCCAAUAUAACUCUGGGUGGAAACUAACUUGUUCCAACUGCGUGCCGUCAUCUAAAAUAAAAACUGUAUUCACUUUAUAUAAUUGCAAGGAUGAGGCAAUAUUAAUAUAUAUAUGGGUCUUCUUCCAAUCUUCCACAUGCCACCUUGUGCUUCCCAGCUGUCACUUAGUCAGUUUGUCCACUCAUUUUGUUCUUUUUUACAGAAACAGAACACACAUAUAUUCUUUUCUACAUAUGAACAUGUCUACGCAUCUAUACGCAUCCAUGUACAUUAUAUGUAUGUACACGCAUAUUUAGACAGUGUUUUAUGCUAAAUUUUACAAAAUAAUGUCUUCAAAAAAUUAAUUACUGCUCCAUUCAUUUCUUCUAGAUUAUAAUACACGCAUAUUUAGACAGUGUUUUAUGCUAAAUUUUACAAAAUAAUGUCUUCAAGAAAUUAAUUACUGCUCCAUUCAUUUCUUCUAGAUUAUAAUUUCACUAGUCAAUAUUUACUGGUAACAAAAGAUUCUUGUAAAACCCUCAGAAGUUUUAUACUAUUAUCUAGUUUCUGAAUUAACUUCUAAAGAUGAUAUCAUCUAAAAUAGAGUUGACGUUUAUGAGCACUCUAUGCACUCUAUUGGUAGAAGAUUUUACGUUUAUUUUGGAUCUUUCAUUUUUUUUCAAUUUUCCAUUCAAAUUCUUAUUAUUAUUUACGUCCACCUCAAGUUGUGUUGUGCAACCUUAUCUUAAUAUCUCCUAUUAAAAGUUGUAUGUAAAUUCGAAUUAUUCACUGGAUGCCAUUACAUGUGAUGUGGGCUCUAACCACGGAUACACCACUUCAUAUUGUAUUUCUAAUAUAGUUGUCAAAUGUUUUUUGAGAAUCAUAUAAAUGGAUCUUAACGGCUAUAUGUACAUAUACUAUUAAUAAUAUGAUCUCUAUGAAACAUUAUUUUGUCUUGAACAUUUUGUAUUGACUUGGCCAUCUCAUUCCAACAAAGUCACAACUCAUCACUCCACACAUUAUACUUCCAUAUAAACCAUCCCCUUCCCACCUCGCUAUACCAAUCACUCUUCACAGUUUAACUGAACAAACUAGUAAUGGCUAUCGCACGUCUAACUCUAGCUCCUCUCCUCCUCAUCGCCGCCGUGAUUCUCUCAACGGAGACAUCAGCUCAGCCGGCAGCACCCGCUCCAGGCCCUGCUGGUCCUAUAAACCUCACGGCAAUCCUCGAAAAAGGCGGUCAAUUCACUACCUUCAUCCAUCUUUUGAAAAUCACUCAAGUUGGGGAACAAGUGAACAUUCAAGUCAACAGUUCAUCCGAAGGCAUGACCGUGUUCGCGCCAACGGACAAUGCUUUCCAAAACCUCAAGGCCGGAACUCUAAACAAGUUGAGCGCAGACGAACAAGUCAAACUCAUUCUCUACCACGUUAGCCCUAAAUUCUACACUUUGGACGAUCUCCUCUCCGUAAGUAACCCGGUUAGGACUCAAGCUUCCGGCCGUGACAACGGUGUUUACGGUCUUAACUUCACCGGUGAAGCUAACCAAGUCAAUGUCUCAACGGGUUACGUGGAGACACGUGUCAGCAACGCGUUGAGAUCACAACGUCCUCUCGCGGUAUAUGUUGUGGACAUGGUUUUGUUGCCUGGUGAGAUGUUCGGAGAGCACAAGCUUUCCCCGAUUGCUCCUGCCCCGAAAUCUCCGACCACUGGGGUUUCCGAUGAUGACACCAAGUCUAACUCAAGUAAAAAGGCUGCAGCGCCGGCAGAUAAGUCAGCAUCUGGUGAGAGGAGAGUUGGACUUGGGUUUGGUUUUGGACUUGUUGUCUUAUGUUUGAAGUUUCUCUUUUGAAUAUUGUGAUCGUUGCCUUGUAUUUGUUUCUGAUUAUUCCACCCGGUUUGGAUUAUGAAAUUUGUUCAUUUAUUUCCGUGAAAUGAAAUGAGAGAUUAUUAAUUUACUACAUAUAACAUUCGUCUAUAGUUGUCAUUAGUAAUGUACUAAUGUCUAAAUGUCUAAGUCAACUUGAAUAUACAUAAAUUCGGUAUAUCGAAGAAGGAAACUUGGUUCACAUGUAAUGUUUUUUUUCUGGACGUCCAUCUUCUAAGAUUAAGUAGUAGGCGGUCUUGAGACUUUCCGAAGAGACGCUCUAUCGGCUGAGUUUGAUUUAUAUGGAAAAAAAGACACCAUUAAAUCUCGCCUCUUUGACGAAAAAAUCUGCAUACACGUUCUUAGUCAUGGGUAUGCGGAGAAUGCUGAACUCAGAAAAAAUAACUUGUAGAAACCGGAAUGAGAUUAGCUUAGAAGUAAAAGCCGGCUAGUCGAUAGGAUUAGCAAUCAUGUCCAACAAAUCAGAGUAAUCCGUUUUCAUAUAAAUCGCAGUGCAGUGUAGCUUUUGUAAACAAGACAUUGCCCAUAUAAGUCCUUCCAUCUCUAUAUGGAGAGAUUCAGAGAUGAUAAGUUUUUUCCGGCAUCUUUGUAGUCCAAUCUUUCGACUCUCAUUUGGUUCGCAUGUAAUGUCUAAGUUAGAUAUUUUCUUAUUUAAAUACAAGUUACUAAUCUGAAUUUAUACCAAUAAUCUCAACUCUACGUGAAAAUCGGAGCAAAGAACGGCGGUCUUGCUAUACUGAUAAACCACUAAACCACUUGGUAGCUAAUAAAAUACAAUAAUUGAUUUAUCAUUACACUAUUUUAAAAUGGAUAAAAUAUGAUUUUGAUUCUUUUAUUGGUCCCUCAGAUCCGAAAUAAUAGCAGUCACAUGCGAUUACUAGACAUGGACCAUAUAACUCUUUGUUGGUUAGUAUGCUAUUAUUUUAUUUUGACCAGCUUAUUGAUUAGUAUUGAAUAAAGACGGGAAUAUGAGUUCAAAGAGUUGUUCUAUUAUCAGGCAAGUAUUAUCUAAUUGCCAUAACAUUUUAAUGCAGUGAGACGAGUAACACCGUGAGUGACUGUUUCGUGUACUCCUUAGGCCUAAUGAAGCGACAUUCUGGGCCUAAUGAAGCAUACUUUUAGACUUUUAGUGAUAUAUACACAUGUGACAAAAAGAAAAGACUUAACUCACAUAAUGGGCCUAUAAAAGCAACUACUUAGUAAUGGGCCUGAUUAAUUCGGCCCAAAUAUACAAGAAAGUUUCUGAUAUAUCGGGAGUUCAAUUGUCGUCACUCCUCGAUUCUAAAACCCUAAGCUUCUUCGCCGACUAUCUCCGAUCGUGAUCCUUCCUAAACCCUAGCCUCACCGGUGAUUAAGAGCUGAUCUAAGGUACCUUUAUCUCUCUCGAUCCUCCGUUCGUAUCUCCGAUUUUUCACUGUGUUUAUUGGUAUGUUCCGUUUGUAUGCCGAUAAAGUCUACGAUGUGCCUGAUUUAGAGUUAAAAUGUUUGUGAUGUAAACUCGUAGAUCUGCUCUCGUUGCAUCGACGAUCUAUAGUUACUGAUUCUAAAUGGCCUAAGGCUCGAUUGAUUUUGGCUUUGCUAUUGAUGUGUUAAGUCUUUCGGAUCUUUGGAUUAUCUACUGAAACUAAUCGAUUCUAUAAUGUUGAUUUCUUUUGGUUUUGGUAGAUCAUGAGUUUCAACAAAGUGCCGAACAUCCCUGGAUCUCCUGCUCUCUCCGCGCUUCUCAAGGUCAGCGUUAUCGGUGGCCUCGGUGUCUACGCCAUCACUAACAGCCUCUACAAUGUCGAGGGUGGGCAUCGUGCCGUCAUGUUCAACCGAUUAACCGGUAUCAAGGAAAAGGUUUUGUAUUAUUAUUCCUCCAACUUACAAUAGUCUAUGAAUACUUAUUUUGAUUAAUGUGAGUUUCACUCUCAGAUUUGUUUUUUUUUUUUUAAGGUGUACCCGGAAGGUACGCAUUUUAUGUUGCCAUGGUUUGAGAGGCCAAUCAUCUAUGACGUCCGUGCACGACCCUAUCUUGUUGAGAGCAGCACUGGUAGUCAUGAUCUUCAGACGGUGUGCUGUUUAUCUUUAUUUUUUUUUUGUGUAUUUGUUAUAUUAUUUGAGAUGGAACAGAAAAUAAACUUAUUGUUUGUUGUUUGCACAGAUCAAAAUUGGACUUAGGGUUCUCACACGUCCCAUGGGUGACCGUUUGCCUCAUAUUUACCGAACCCUAGGCGAGAAUUACAGUGAAAGGGUUCUCCCUUCCAUCAUCCAUGAAACACUGAAGGCUGUGGUGGCUCAGUACAAUGCAAGCCAGCUCAUCACUCAGAGAGAAGUAUGUAACUCGACAUUCUUCUUAGUACAAUUUUGUUCUACUCUUUUGUUCAUUAUGGUUGACUUUAUUUUUUGACUCGCCUCUAGGCUGUGAGCAGAGAGAUACGCAAGAUUCUGACGGAGAGAGCUUCGAACUUCGACAUUGCUCUUGAUGAUGUCUCCAUCACGACUCUCACUUUUGGCAAAGAGUUCACUGCUGCAAUCGAGGCAAAGCAAGUCGCUGCUCAGGAAGCUGAACGUGCCAAGUUCAUUGUGGAGAAAGCUGAGCAAGACAAGAGAAGUGCUGUUAUCCGUGCGGAGGUAAAUGAUAACUGGGAACUUUAAUUGGGAAUCUAAUGACAGAGAUUACAUGCUUAUGGGUGUGUGUGUAUUGAUUCAUUGUGCAGGGAGAAGCUAAAAGUGCUCAACUUAUAGGACAAGCAAUUGCAAACAAUGAGGCAUUCAUAACUCUGAGAAAGAUCGAAGCUGCAAGAGAGAUUGCUCAGACCAUUGCAAAAUCAGCUAACAAGGUGUACCUGAGCUCCAACGAUCUGUUGCUUAACCUUCAAGCGAUGAACUUGGAGCCUAGCUCGAAGAAGUGAAAACAAGGAACUAUAUAGUAAGUUCCAUCCGUUUCUCUCAAAAUGACUAUUUUGUCCAUUAUCGUGAUCGAUCCUGGAACUGCUUACUUUAAGUCGAGACAUUGAAACUUGGAUUAGCUUUGGUCGUCAUGUUCUUGUUUAUAUUUUCUUGCGCUUUCCGGGAAAAUUGUUUGGCUGGAUUUAAAAAAUAAUAAUAACAAACAUAUUCGUAUGGCUAGACACGUUUUUAUUUAUAAUCCUAAUAUUACUUGCGAUAUUUAAAAUCUUAUAACUUUGCUAUUCAAAAUUUCUGUUCUCAACCAGUUGCCAGCGUUAUCUACCUGUAGAGAAAUUUAUAUCGUCGAAAAAAUAAUCUUAGCGCAUACGUAUUAUAAGAUUCGUAUGAGCAUAGCAAUAUGGGUCCCUUUGUAUUUGGUGACACCAUGCCGGCGCCACCAUGAUACAGACGUCUUUUUUUUCUUCUUUUUACCGGUGUGGAGUUUUAUGGGGGUGACGAUACCCCGGCAAAGUCAGAUGACGUCAAAUUGAAAAACAAUUUAUUAAAAAAAUUUGACCAAGUAAAAACUCUUAUUUGAUGUCUUCGUAUAUAAUAACCGACGGCUGCUUCUUCUUAAUGAUGUCAUGUAUUAUCCCAAUUAACUUCCUGAGAAAACAAAUUAGAUGGACCGUAUUGUAUUGUUUGAGUAAAAGUGAUUCAAAAUUACACGCGUUGUAGUAUAAACUAAAGAGACACGGCUAGUUGUUUUGUAAAGUUAAAGGAAAUGUCGUAUGGUUUUAUCACGGUGAGGGUCCAUCUUCUGUCAUUUUCUCUCGUUCUUCUCAGCUGUUUCCUUUUGACGAAAGGGGUGGGGGUUGUUUAGAUUUUUCCACAAAUUACCACGUCAUCAACAAGGCUUUGUGGAGUUCGUGACGUUCGUGCAAUGUUUUUUUCCAAUCAAUCAACAGAUUGUAUGUAAGGUUAACUAAUCCUAUCAAAGGCUUCAAAAUUAAGUUUAGUUGUUGAGGUAUUUCGAUGAAAUGGUAUCUAUAUUAUGUGCCUAUACAAUACUGUCACCAUGUAUUUAUAUUUUUGAUGGAGAAAAACAUUUUUUUAAUUAUUCUACGUAGGUUUAAUCAUUUCUUUCAAGUUUCAACUAAAAUAUAAUAUACCGAAUUGUUAUCUUAUUUCUUAAUGUUAAAGAAAAUAAGUCAUCAUCAUGACGUAAUAGAGAUGAUCUUAAAAUCUAAUGGUCCAUACAAUGAUUUGCAUUUAUCCAUUGGCGUAACCAUACGAAGACAAUUGUAAUUGUGACAUAAGUCGAAAACAACUAAAGAAAUCGGUUGACAUCAGCCUUGUCGUCAGCCAUUUACUAUGUCGGCGUCAUCAAUUAUUUUUUGAAAUAAACUAUAUCGUGCAAGUCAUUGAUUUUCUAAAUUACAAUAGGAUAGAAAUGACAUUACGUUAUAAGAUAAUGAUAAUAUACUCCAAAAUAUUGAGUUGUCGCAUUUGAGUUCCGACAAUGAGAUCAAAACUUAUCUUUCAUUCCUAAGUUAAUUAACACUAAAUAUUUUAAAAACUUUUUUAGAUAAUUUACACUCAACAUUAAUAAGUAAUCACAAGUACAGCAAUGGAUAUGUAAUUUAGAUACGGUGACGUUGCUUCGGAUAUUCUGAGAAUACUAUCUACACAUGUUUACGUUGACCUCAAAACGAAAUGCUCUCUAAAAUUCUCUAUAUAAAUUCUUUAAUCUAAUCUCUUACCAAUCCAUCACAACUAAAGAAGACUCUCUCUCUCUCCCUCUCUCCCUCUCUCUUGUCUCUCUUCUCUCUCUAAAUCAAUUAUGCAAAAAGCAAUAAGAGCAUACGAGUCAUCGUGGACGAAGACCACAUCGGCCAAUAGCAUUUUCCGUCCAAAGAAUGAAGAUAAACCAUCAUCAUCAUUAUCAUGGCUAACAUCAUCACCAUCACCACAAAAGCCAUCAUCUUCAAGCACUAAGAAAUCAAGCUAUAACGUUUUGGUGAUGGAGAAUGCUGUGGUGGUGUUUGCGAGGAAGGGUUGUUGUAUGGGACAUGUGGUGAAAAGGUUGUUACUGACACACGGCGUGAACCCAUUAGUAGUUGAGAUUGACGAAGAAGACAAUAACGAUAUGAUCAUAAGUGAUUUGGGUAAAACUGUUAUUAAUAAAGAGAACUUACCAGUCAUGUUCAUAGGAGGAAAGUUGUUUGGAGGAUUGGAGAAUCUGAUGGCUGCUCAUAUUAAUGGUGAUUUAGUGCCUACUCUCAGACAAGCUGGGGCUUUAUGGCUUUGAUUCAAUAUGAUUUUCCUCUUAAUCUUUUUCCGUGUUGCAUUAUUUGUGAAUAUAUUUUUGGCAAUGUUUUAAACUAUGUGAAUUUUUAAUCAAUUGUUAUGUAACACAUAAAAGUUUAUCAAAGAACAAUAAAAAACAUUUUUCUUGUAAUUAAAAGCUCUUGAAAUCUGUUUUUCUGCAUAAUAAUUAACAAGUCAAAUGGUAUCCAACCAGCUGCCAAAUUUGAAAGGUCAGAACUCAUCAUAAACCUUGGCUUUUCCAAGUCAGAUCUGCUUUGUUUCACCAAGACUCAUACUGUUUCUCCGAGCAACUGAUCACCACACCAAAAUCAAUCUUGUGAGGAUUAUAUCGUUUCGUUGAAUCUCUUAGUCGGUGAGCUUUUUAAGCUGAUAACAAUGAUUUUAUUAAGUUCAGCUUUGACCUUAAUUUAAACUUUGCCAUUUAAAUUUUGUUGAACAGCCUCGUUGUGACAGCAAUAUUGACAAACAUAAUACGACACUUAAGAUUAGACCUUCACAGCCCAUUAUUGAUAUUUUAAUGGAUUAAUAAAAUGGGACCCUAAUAAUGGCCUAAAAAUUAAGGGCCCAAUAUAUGCUAAGAAUUUAUAUCCCGUUCAAUCCUACUGCCUUUUGUUUAAAAUCAAAAUGAAGUAAUGUUCGUUCAUAUGAACAACUCAAAAGAAAUUGUGUAUUAGAUAUUGGUAUUGUUUUCUAUAUUAUUCACAAUGAGCAAUGCUCUGGCUUUAUACAAUGAGAGAGAGAACCUAAUAAGGAAUGUGUAUAUACAAGGAGUAAUGUGAGAAUAUAUGAUUGAGAGUGAUGAUCGUCUUUCUAUAUCUUACAUCCCCCCUCAAGAUGGACCGCCUUUGGCGAGGCCAAUCUUGUUGCAUAGAGACUGAUGCUUGCCGCGAGGUAAAGGUUUGGUAAGAGCAUCUGCAAGCUGAUCAGCUGAAGUGACGUGUGAGACACGGAUGCGGCCCGCUUGGACAAGGUUUCGAACAAAGUGGUAAUCUAGAGCCAGAUGCUUCAUACGAGAGUGAAAGACCGGGUUAGCUGCAAGGUAGGUGGCUCCUAUGUUGUCACAGUAGAUGGCUGGUGUAGUGAGUUGCUUCAGCCCCAAUUCAGUGAUCAAGGAGAUAACCCAGCUAACUUCUGAGGCAGUAGAUGCAAUGGAGCGAUAUUCUGCCUCCGUAGAUGAGCGUGCAACGGUAGUUUGUUUCUUUGAGGACCAGGCUAUGGGAUGCUUCCCAUAGUAGACAAUGUAUGCUCCAGUUGAGGUGUAAUCGUCUUUGUUUCCCGCCCAAUCAGCAUCAGUAUAGGCGUGUAGUGAUGGGGUGUUGUGCUUGUGAAGGAAGAUGCCAGUAGUCAUAGUUCCAGCAAGAUACCGAAGGAUGCGUUUGACUCCAUUCCAAUGCUCAUCACUCGGUUUAUGCAUGAAUUGAGACAUCUUGUUGACUGCGAAGGAGAUAUCUGGACGGGUGAGUGAGAGGUAUUGGAGACUCCCAACAGUGGCUCGGUACUGUGUUGGAUCUUUCAGAGGCGUGCCUGAGCUCAGAGUUAGUGGCUUGUAAGGGCACAUCGGUGUAGGAACAGUGUUGCAGUCCUCCAUCUUGUUCCUAUGUAAAAGAUCUGCAAUAUAACGAUGUUGUGUAAGUAAUAGACCUUGAGAAGAGUAAUGAGCUUCAAUGCCUAAAAAAUAAGAAAGUUGGCCAAGAUCUUUUAGUGAGAAUCUCGUGGAUAGAGAUGUGAUGAAGUUGUUGAGAUGAGUCUGGUUGUUGCCCGUCAAGAUGAUAUCAUCGACGUAGAUCAACAUGUAUAGGAGAACUCCAUUGUUGUUGUAGAUGAAUAAGCUUGCGUCAGCCAAGGAAUUUUUGAACCCAGAGGCAAUCAAGAACCGACGAAGCUCGUUGUACCAUGCCCUUGGGGCUUGUUUCAGACCAUAGAUCGCCUUAUGGAGUUUACAUACAGCCGUAGGAUUGUCUUUGUCUACGAACCCUGGCGGUUGUAGCAUGUAAACAUUAUCUUCGAGCUUCCCUUGUAAGAAGGCAUGAUUAACGUCGAACUGUCUUAGAGGCCAGUUGUGAGAGGUGGCAACGCUGAGAACAAGGCGGAUUGUUGCUGGUUUUACCACUGGGCUGAAAGUAUCAUGAUAAUCAAUUCCUGGUUUUUGAUUGAAGCCCUUUGCUACCAGCCGCGCUUUGAAUCGAUCAACUGUACCAUCGGCUUUCCUUUUGAUCGUAAACACCCAUUUACAGCCCACUACAUUAGCUGCUCUGAGUGGAGACUCUAAAUCCCAUGUGUGAUUGCGCAGUUGAGCAUUGAUCUCGUCUAUCAUGGCUUGACGCCAUCUGGGGUCUUUCAGAGCUUCAGCUACAGAGGUGGGAAUCCUUUCAGAGCCAAUAUGAACCACUGCUGAAAGAUUGAGCUUGUCAACUGGUUUCCGUGUACGCUGAGAUGUGCGUGUGGGUUGUCGAGGCUGAAGAGACUGUGAGGUAGUUGAAGUAGAAGCCGGUUGUGGUAGAACAGGUUGCACCGGUUCUGGUGAGAUCGUUGGAGGUGGGACAUUGGCAGGAGCACUCGUAGUUGGAGGACCAGUUGCUGCAGGGCCGGUUGCAGUAGCUGGAGGUUCGGGUGCUGUGACAUUGUCAGUAGCACUCGUAGGUGGAGUACCAGUUGCUGCAGGUCCGGUUGCAGUAGCUGUAGGUUCUGGUUCUGUGACCGUGGCAGUGUCUUGUGGUAAUGGUUCUGUCCUGUUGUUGGGAGUAGGUGCCAUGGGAGGAACUACUUGUACUGUUGGUCCUGGUGUCUGUGAGGAAUCUGCAUCAACAACUUCAGUUUGAUUUUCACAAGUUAGCGGAUUAGGCAGUGAAAAAGGAUAAACAUACUCAUGAAAGACAACAUGUCGAGAUGUAUAGAUGCGAGAUGUAGUUCUAUCUAGACAAAAGUAAGCACUCUGAGUAGUAGAAUAUCCUAAAAAUGUGCAAGGAGUUGAUCUAGAAUCUAGCUUAUGAGAUGUAUAAGGACGAAGCCAAGGAAAACAUAAGCAACCAAAUAUUCUUAACUUGGAGUAAUUUGGAACCUGUCCAAACAGAGACUCAAAAGGCGAUUUCAUAGAUAAAAUAGGAGUAGCCAUACGGUUGAUAAGGUAUACUGCAGUAGCAAAAGCAUAUGUCCAAUAGCCUUUCGGCAUGGAAGCAUGCGAUAGGAGGGCUAGUCCGGUUUCGACAAUAUGGCGAUGUUUCCUCUCGGAAAUGCCAUUAUGCUCUGGAGUAUGUGGUGGAGUAGUAAAAUGUGAGAUGCCAUUAGCUGCCAAGAAUGCAGUUAGAGCAAUGUACUCACCACCAUUAUCCGUAUAGAGCGUUCUAAGUUUUGAUUGAAAUCGGUUUUCAACCAACACUCUGAACCUCUUAAAAACCUCAGAAACAUCUGAUUUUCUUUUUAAAGGAUAAAGCCAAGUAUAUCUAGUAUAGUGAUCUACAAAAAUAACGUAGUAUUUGAAAUUAUCAGUUGAAAUUAUUGGAGAUGUCCAAACAUCUGAAAAGACAAUAUCAAGUGGAGAAGAAGAAGUAAGAGUUGAAGCUGAAAAUGGCAACUUGUGCAUCUUAUUAAUAGAACAAGCAUUACAAGGCUUGGUCAAUAAAGCAUGAGAAGAUAAAGGUAAAUCAAAUUUUGAAAGCAUAGUUUUUAAAAUAGAAAGAACUGGAUGGCCUAAACGAGAGUGCCAAUCUGAUAAAGUAGUAGAAGUAGCAGAAGCAUAAGAUAAAGAAGGUGGAGAGGAAAUAGGUAGUUUCGGCCAGACAUAAGUUCCACCCUUAGGUUUGCCUUCCAGUCGAAGAGCUCCCGUAGUCAGAUCGCGGACCUGAAAGUACGUCGGAGUAAAGGUAACAGCCACACCAUUAGUCUUACAUAACUGGAAAACCGAUAUCAAGUUUUUAUCUAAGGCAGGAACAUAUAAAACAUUAUCAAUAAAGAAGGGUGAUUUAAGAGAUGGAACAGAGAAAGAACCAGUGUGGGAAAUGUGUAGACCCGAGCCAUCACCGAGAAUCACAUCAUCACCACCGUUGUAGGGAGCAUGGAGAGACAGAUUUGUUAAGUCGGAUGUCAUGUGAUGUGAAGCACCGGAGUCAAGCAACCAUGUUGAGGAGUCACCAUUCAUCAUUGCGGCAUUAGCUCUUGGCUGCCACGACUGUGGGUGAGGAGUUUGUUGCCAUGGCUGAGUGGUGUUCCACUGUUGUGCUGAGCCAGACCCACGAACAAUACGAAAUUCAGGACAAUAUUUGGCACUGUGUCCCUGUGUUCCACACGCUUGACAACGUCCAAGAUAUGGACGUGGUGAACGAUUCUGGUUCUGGUGUGUGUAGUUUCUGCUGUUGGAGUUGCGAUUGUUGGGCUUCCAAGUCUGGUUGGAGUUGUGGUUGUUGUUCCUGAAGCGUGUAUCAGUAGCGUUAGCAGUGAUAGGAGUCUCUGGUGUAGAGACUGGAGCUUUGCAUAGGAUCAUUGCUUCUCUGUUAAGGAGGCGUUCAUGGAGUUCAACAAAGGAGAUCGUUGUGUCUCUGCCAUGAAUGGCAUCAACCUCUGACUUGUAAUCCUCAGGCAAACCAUUGAGAACAAAUUCAGUAAUGUCUUCUGGAUCCAUAGGCUUUCCAAGUUGUGCCAGUUCAUCAGUCGUAACCUUGAUACCUCUGAGAUAAUCAGAUAUGGUUUUGGUACCUUUAGCGCAUGACUGAACUUGGAGUUUGAGUUGACGUAUGUGUCCACGGGUGGGGUUGCCGAACGUUUGAGAAAGCAGGCUCCAUAUCUCAGCGGUCGUUGUAGCGCUCGAAACCAAUGGCUGGAGCGGUGCAGAGAUGGUUCCAAUAAGAGAGCUGUAGAGAAGCCGAUCUUGUCUCCUCCAUGGAGCGUACUCAGGAUUUACUUCAUUCUGGACUUCUGCAUUAGUCGCAUUGGAGGGAACAGCCUUCGCGGCAUCAAGAAACCCGUGGAGUUCCAGACCUUCAAGCAGAGCACAGAUCUGUUUGCUCCACAUGAGGUAAUUGGUAUUUGUCAAUUUGGUGAUGCUGGACAUAUUCACCGUGAGCAGGGUGCUGGCGGGAUCUCGUGUGUUGAAGACUGUGGUUGUCUCCGCAGAGGAUGUGCGAUUGGUACUUUCGUUAGCCAUUUAGCCGUUUGAGAAAGAGAGGCAGAAGAAAAAGACGUAGGGAAUGGGGGAGGAAGAAGAAAAAAAGACGUAAGAUAGAAAAAUUAGGUCAAGAUCUUUAGGUGCUCUGAUACCAUAUUAGAUAUUGGUAUUGUUUUCUAUAUUAUUCACAAUGAGCAAUGCUCUGGCUUUAUACAAUGAGAGAGAGAACCUAAUAAGGAAUGUGUAUAUACAAGGAGUAAUGUGAGAAUAUAUGAUUGAGAGUGAUGAUCGUCUUUCUAUAUCUUACAUUGUGGACAUACAAGUCUUGAAUAUCUACAAAAGUUUUUCAACGUAGAAAGUUUUUUUCACAUACAUUUUUUUUUUAAACCAACUUUCACAUACAUUAUUGUUCAAUGAUGAACAAUUACUACACACUUAAUUAUGUAUGAAGUUCGAACUCCAUAUGCAAAUUAAAUAAUACAAAACUAAGGUUUUUGUUUUCUCCGGAAGCGUAAGGAAACGGAAAAAGAAAAUCAUUUUCUAAUAUAUUUCUUGAGUGAUAUGUGCAGAUUCUGUCAAUCAUAAAUUUAGUACGUACAUACGCAUAUACGUUUGCGUAGUGCUAAAUUUUUUUUGUAACAAAAAAUAAUGGUAUUAAGAAAUCAUACAAGUGCGUAACGUAUUUGAUUUAAACUAAUAUUUGAUGAGGCCUACCUUCAAUCACGAAGCCAAUAACAUUUGUGACACUUACUAUAAUAUAGUAUUACGAAAGACCGCUUUUGAGUAAUUAUCAUCAACUUUUUAAUAUGCUUUUUACAAUCUCGAAUGCAUCUACGAACAAUUAUGGACGAAGGUGGGCCAAGUUUGACCGUUUAGUAGCAAUCCAGGUUCGAAAUUGCGCUAGGCGUGAGUCGAGCGGUGAUGUCGGGCCUAGCGAGUUACCAAAAAAUCGGAGAUUAAGCGGGAAUUAAUCGGGGAGUAAUUAUAAGCGUUUUAGUAAUAUAUAUACGUUUUGGUAAAUGAUAACAAAUAUUUGUAGUGGUCUGGUGGUCAUUAAUGCAGUCGGAUGUCCAAAUAAUUCGGGUUCGAAACACUGUCUUCUCAAUUUUUAAGCAUUUUCGUAUUUAAUUCAUUAAAAAGUAAAAUUACAUUAUUACCCUCAUCUCUUUAACAGACUUCUCUGCAACCCUAGCCGCCGUUCAUGAGUUCCAAACAUGAUUUUUCACUUUUUUGUCAUUUUUCUUGCGGUUUACAGCACAAAGUCUCAAAAGAAUAUCGAUUGAGGUCAAAAUUAUGUAGAUUAUCAAACUGAAGCAACACGUGCUUGUAAUAUUAAGCACCGAUUGCAUCAUUUUCGCGGUCAACUCAAGACAAAUUCAACCCACCGCCUAGCUACUCCGAUCAGCUCCUCCACGCCACGGUGACAACACGCCCAACGCUUACCCGGCCGAGAUCUCGGCAACUCGGGCGCGUUUUCGAACACGGGUAGCAAUGUAAGAUAUUCUUUCUAGUGUUUUUCUAGUCUUUAUCCAUAUAUGUGUAACAUGAAAAUGUCCUCAUCACUCAAUAAUUGUUGUAGAUCACUCAAACAAAAUCACCGCGAAGACUAUCUUCUUAUUUAUAUGACUUGUUUAGCUAAAUAUAUGGAAACUAUGUAAUAACACGCGCCUUGCGCAUGAUGUGAUUAUUAGUUUCAUUAUUUAAUAAAAAAAUAUUAAAUCUGUCUAAUAUGGAUAUUAGUUCGGUUUUAAGUUUUUUUUUUAGUUUUUAAUCUUCUAAAACAUAAGUAUAAUUUUAAAUUAAUAUUUAUUUUAGUUUAUUCGGUUAAAUUAUGUUUGAUUUUUUGGUUUUUCCGGUUAUUUUCAAGUUAUGAAUUUUAGAUAGUCGUCAUGUCGAACCAAUAAUUUCAUAGUAUAAUUUAUAAACAGAUAAUAAUUUAAGAAAAAGAAAAAAAAAUUAUUAAGACAAAUCAUUUCACUACAAUUUGGUCGAUAGUGAAAGAAGCAUUAAGAAAAAAUAUUUCAAUUUUAAAAAAAAUUAGAUACUUUAAUUGUGGUGAAUGCUUAGUUACAAGAGACAAUUGGCUGAAUAUACCUAAACCACCAAGAAAUUAAGAAACUACCCUAAAGCAAGAAAAACUCAUGUCCACUAUAGAUAUUUUUGUUUCCCUUUUCCGUUUUACCCUUGCCCUAAUUUUUUUAUAUGUUUCUCUUUCUUACCCUAAAUUUUGAUUAUAUAUGCUACAAUAAUUGUUAACUGCUAGGAUAAUAUUAGUUGAAUCGAUAAUGAUUAAGUUAACACGUUAACAUAAUUUGUAACUUUUAACAGAAUAUAUACAUAUUAGUUAAUGAUUGCUACUUUAACCAUUUUACCAAACAAUGUAAAAAUCGAUAACAUAUUUUGUAACAGUUAACCAAAUAUGUAUCAACUAAUCAUAAUAUGUUAUAUAUAACAUGAACACAAAGUUUUAACGUAACUGUUAUGUGACUUGUUUUAACCUACUAACUUAUUUCAUAGCAUCUAACAAACUAUUUAACAGCCAACACCUCAGCUCUGUAAUAGAUGAUUGCUACUUUAACAAUUUUACCAAACAAUGUAAAAAGCGAUAACAUAUUUUGUAACAGUUAACCAAACAUGUAUCAACUAACCAUAAUAUGUUAUAUAUAACAUGAAUACAAAGUUUCAACGUAAACUGUUAUGUGACUUGUUUAACCUACUAACUUAUUUCAUAGCAUCUAACAAACUAUUUAACAGCCAAGACAAGCUAUUUUUUUUAAAUGACAAACCGUUUUAAAAGGCUGUUAACAUGUUUUAUAACAGCUAAGUAAACAUUUAUCAGCUAAUGAUAAUAUAUUUUGUGAAAAAAUCAGCAUCCACCGGUUUAUUAACAACUAACCAAACAUGCAUAUGCUCACAAUAUUUGAUUUGUAGCAUGUAAUCAAACAAUUAUCCGUUAACUUAAUAAAUAUCGACUACAAGCACAAAUAACUUAAAUGUUAGAUUCAAGUUUCAUCAAUGUCAGGAAAUCUCUAUAUUUCUUGAUUAUACAAACCAUCAAUACAACCAUGUGAUUUUACCAGCGAAUGAAUCGAAGAGAUCUCACAUGUAUAUUAAACAAAAUUUCUUACUUCAUAUCACGGUUAAAUUGAGUAAAAAGGAUAGAUAUGACAGAUAGAAAAACUCAUGUGAGGAUAGUACUCAUUAGAUUCAUACUCUGUAUUAAUUAAAAUAUACGUACAUGUUGCUGAUUCACAUCGAUCGUUGGAAAUAGAAAAGAUAUGGAAAAAAACAUUUGUAGAUUAAUAGAAAAAAAAUUGUGUUUGGUGAUUUUAAGAAAAUACAAGAGAGAGAGAGAGAGAGAGAGAGAGAGAAAUAAGAAGAUUGUUCUGGACAGAAGAUUAUAAGAAGACACAAGAUAAAGAAUGAUUCAGAUAGUUGGGGCAUGGGUGAUAUCUUGCAUAUUUGCAUUGUUUUAUCCAUUCAUCCAUGAGCAUUUUCAUCAUAUAGAUUAGGUUUCAGACAUGUUUAGGUUGCAUUUUGCAUACAUGAGUCUCUAUUAGGUACUGGAAUACCACAUGAGGCUAUUUGGAGCUCAAAAGAGGUGAAAAGGUGACCAUUGAACGAACCGAGCAUGGGAGCGACCUCCCGGAGCGACAUCACGAAGUCGCUGUGUCCCACUUCUCAGAGCGACCUUCCUAAAGCGACGCCAUGAAGUCGCUCGCGUUCUCAUUACUCCGAACAGUCUUAGAUGACCCUGGAGCGACCUCUCAGAGCGACCUACCAAAGUCGCUCCCGAUCCAGAGCGACCCGUUGGAGCGACUGCACAAAGUCGCUCGCGUUUUCACGUCCGGAGACACACAACUCGCUCUCGGAGCGACCUCUCGCAGCGACCCAGCGAGGUCGCUCCCGAAGCUUGGAGCGACCUGUCCAGAGCGACAGGGAGAAGUCGCUCGCCAUCUUGGUUCCCGGAGACAAGAAAUCGCUCUCGGAGCGACCUCUCGCAGCGACCCAGCGAGGUCGCUCCCGAAGCCUGGAGCGACUUGUCGGAGCGACGAGCCGAGGUCGCUCCGCGCCUAUUAUCUGCUCGAUUUCUAUUUUACUUAAGGGCCUUUUGGUCAUUUCAUUAUGCACGUUUUGCACUUGGAAAAACCUAUGUUUUAAACAUCUUUUGUAGCCACCAGUGGCAGAUUAUCUUUGAGCUUUUGAUCUAUUGAGAAAGACACAAGAACUCUCUUGAGAAGUUCAUCUCUUGGGUUUUGAUUUGUUAUGUUCUUGUGUUCUUGUUGAUUUCUUAUCUAUUUCUCUACAUGGUUAAUCUGAAAUCCAAUAUGGGUUUAAGAGGAAUCAUGGAGAUUAGUGAGUAAUCACCUUUGGAAUUCAUGGGUUAGGGAGAUUAAGGGUGAUUAGGUUAGAGUUAGGAUGUUUUGGUGUAGAUCAUUCAUAUUUCCUUGCUAGUAGAGUAAUCAUAAUGCAUCUUCUGAGUUGGCCACUCAGUUGUUGAUCCUUAGGCAUUUCUCACCCGAAAGGUGUUCGAUGAAAUGCCCGAGACAACUCUCCUAGGCUUUUAGUAUACUUUGCCAAAGACAUUUGUUGUUAAAGGUACUAAGAUAGCUAAUAGACUUGUUAGUAAUGAUUGCUUUCAUAUUAUUCAACCAAAGACAUUUGAUGUUUGAGAUAUGUUAGCAAAUGAGCAUUCAUCUAGACAUAGAGCUUGCUUAGAAUUGUGUCUAGGCUUAAGGUUGAUUGUUUGAUUGAUCAUUUGCCAUCCUUAGUUCGAUACUUGAUCACCCAAGGUCUAAUCCCUAUACCCAUGAGUUCUCUUUUCCUUUAGUCAAGAAAGUAUCAUUCUGUUAUUGCUUUCUAGUUUUAGUCAUAGUUUAAAACCCUUCUAAAUCAUUGGUUGCACUUAGAUUAAGUGAGUACUUGCAUUCUCAGUGCUUUGAUAUCCCUCAGAACUGGUUCGACAAUCUUCUAUACUACAACAUUUGUCUUAGGAGCCUUGAAAACUCCUAACAUCAAAUUGGCGCCGUUGCCAAAUUCUGAGUAGCCUUGAAAACUCUUAACAUCAAAUUGGCGCCGUUGCCAAAUUCUGAGUAGAUUUGAACAUUGAGAUUUAGUCACUUGCUUGAGACUAAGUCAUUUUUAUUUUCUUUUGUUACUGAUUCUCUUUCUUCACCUCCCUUUAAUCUACAGGUGUAUGAACUUGAGGAGCAGGGGUCCAUCAAACCUAGUUCCAAUAGCUGCAGACAUCAGAGCUUUAGAGAGAGAGUGUGCUAGAAAUAGAAGAGAAGAAGAGCUACAGGCUCAAUUGCAGAGACUGAACACUGAUAUGGGAGACAUACCUCAAAACCAACAGCGAGCAGCUCGACCCAUUGGCACUUACGACCGCCCCAACAUUCAUGGUCAUAGAUUGGGAAUCCGAGCACCCGCUGUGGCAGCCAACAACUUUGAGAUCAAAUCAGGACUCCUCAACGUGAUCGAGAACAACAAGUAUCAUGGCUUGGCUCUAGAGGAUCCAUUUGAUCACUUGGACAGGUUCGACAGCUACUGUGGGUUGUCAAAAACCAAUGGUGUGUCCGAAGAUGCCUUAAAGCUCAAGCUAUUCCCUUUCUCUUUGGGGGAUAAGGCACGUCAGUGGGAGAAGUCUCUACCCAGUGACUCCAUCACUACUUGGGAUGACUGCAAGAAAGCAUUCUUGGAGAAGUUCUUCUCUACUUCAAGAACUGCUAAGCUGAGAAACGAGAUUUCCAGCUUUCAACAGAAGAACUUGGAAGGCUUCAGUGAAGCCUGGGAGAGAUUCAAGGGCUACCAAGCUCAAUGCCCACACCAUGGCUUUUCUAAGGAGAGCUUACUGAGCACAUUCUACCGUGGUGCUCUUCCUAAGUACAGAGCCAGACUGGAUACAGCUAGCAAUGGGUUCUUCUUGGGGAGAACUGAAGAGGAUGCAGAAGAGUUGGUUGACAACAUGGUAAAGAGUGAUGCAGUCUACAGUGGAGACCACGACAGAGGCAGUAGAACAGAUGAUAAGCAGACGAGGAAAGAGAUCAAAGCUUUGGAAGACAAGAUCGAUCUACUCAUUGCUGAAAAAGCCACCCAAGAGCAGCUGAAGUUUGUUGGUAACUCCAAGCAGGAAGAUCCACUUGCUGUCAAUGAGGUUGAGGGGUUGGAAGGUCAAGAGGAGUUGUGUUUCAUCAACAACAAUGGUAGCUGGUACAAAAAGGAGCCCAACUUUCAGUACAACAACUACCAACAGAAAUCCUACCCAAACAACCAACAGAGUGGCUAUCCGCCAAGAAACAACCAGCAAGGCAGCUAUCAGCCUCAGCAAAACCCCUCGUCUGGUUCCUCUGCUCCUCAAGAGAGCAGCACUGAUACCUUACUGAAGCAAAUCUUGGAGUCUCAGACUAGAAGUGAGAAGCAAGUUGGUUAUGAGUUGAAGAACCUUCAUUCCAAGAUUGAUGGGAGCUACAAUGAGCUCAACAACAAAUUCUCACACCUUGCUUCUACAGUCAGGAAUUUAGAGAAUCAAUUUGCUUCCAUGAACACUCACCAGAAUCGCCAGCAAGGAUCUCUACCUGGAAAGUCUGACCAAAAUCCCAAGGAGGCCAAAGCUAUCACCCUUAGGAGUGGUAAGCAGUUACCUCCUAGAACCCUCACCAAGGAUGCUGAGAAACUAGGUGAGGGGGUUGCCAUCAACAUAGAUGAUGAAGUGGUGAUUGUUGAUGAGAAGAUCAAUGACGAGAUCUUGGAGAAGAUAGUGGAAGCCAAAGGUAAAGGAAAGGUUGGAGAGGAGAAGAAGACAGUAAAGGAUGGUGAAGUUGUUACUCCAGCAAGUGAAAGUUCUUUUGUUCCCCCUACCUAUGAACCCAAACUUCCAUUCCCUGGUAGAUUCAAGAAGCAGCUGCUAGAGAAGUACAAGGCUCUGUUUGAGAAGCAAAUGAGUGAAGCUCAGGUUGCAAUGCCCAUCAUCGAUGCUUUCAUGUUGAUUCCUCAAUACAACAAUUUCCUGAAAGAUGUUGUAGCUGCAAAGAAGAAGGAGAUGGAAGGCAUGAUGAUUCUUACCCAUGAGUGCAAUGCCAUCAUCCAGAGGCUUGAUGUUCCAGAGAAAUUAGAGGAUCCAGGAAGCUUCACACUACCUUGUGCUCUUGGACCUAUGGUAUUUGAGAAAAGUCUCUGCGAUUUGGGAGCUAGUGUCAGCUUGAUGCCUUUGUCUGUUGCAAAGAAGCUUGGAUUCACUCAGUACAAGAAGUGUAGACUCUCUCUGGUGUUAGCUGAUCGUUCAGUGAAGUACCCUGUGGGCAUCUUAGAGGACCUCCCUGUGAAGAUUGGAAGGUAUGAGAUACCUACAGAUUUUGUGGUGCUUGAGAUGGGUGAGGAGGCUCAAGAUCCAUUGAUUCUAGGAAGGCCAUUCUUAGCUACAGCAGGAGCUAUUGUUAAUGUGAAAGAGGGCACGAUUGAUCUCCAUUUUGGUAAAGAGAACAUCCUCCACUUUGACAUCAAGGGGAAAAUGAGGAAACCAACUGUGUUCGGGCAAGCCUUCUACAUUGAAGAGAUGGGCACUCCUGCUGAUGAGCACCUUGAAGAGUUACCACCUGAGGACGACGAGGAGGGAGCAUCUCCCUCUACUCAUUCCCUAUAGAAGGUAACCCACCACACUCCUUUGUAUAUACCAUUUCAUUUUUGCAUAUUAGUCUUCUUUUCGGUAUCUCUCUCUACUUGACGACACAGAGACUGUGUAACUCAAGUUUGGGGGAGGUACCAAGUAUUUGAUCAUGUUUGCUUUGAUGUUGAUUCAUUGAGUCAUGCAUGGCAUACCUAUUUGCAUAGAUAAAAAAAAAAAAUUAAUCAUUUAGUUUGCAUCAUUUGCAUUUUUAGGAGAGUCUAGAGCAUAUAGGUUGCAUUCACUUGCAUUGGGAGCAAUGAUUUUAAAUGCCUUGUAAAGAACACUACGUUGCACCUGAGUAGCUUUUGCACCUCUCAAAAAGACUUGUAUGUUUCGAGCCUUGAAAACUCUUCCUGAAACUUGUUGAUUGCUGAAACUCAGUCUUUGAAGCCAACUACAACCUUAUUUGAACUGAACGAACUUAAUGCUUCUUGCUCAUGGUCCCUUGUGUACUGAGUCAUGGCUAUACACACUUGAGUUGUCACAUCCUUUAUGCCAAUCUUAUUUUGACAAACUCUAGUGGUAGACCACUCCCAAAACCGUUCCCUCCUUUUAAGCUUUCAUUGUUUGAUGAGUGAGGCCUUCUUCGGAAAGUCUUACAUGCGCAUAAUGUUGAGAGUAUCGGGAACGACAAUGCUUGAUCUUCAUUCUUGCUAGAUUGGGCACUCUAUUGUCUAGCUAUAGGUGGGGGGUGAGUGUUGUGAUUAUGAUUUGGGAGAAAUGAAAAAGGAAAAGAAUAGACUCUUUGUGCUUAAGUGAAUUGUUUUAUUGGGAUAAGUAGAGAAGCCUCUAGCUCAAGUUUUGAAAGUCUUGGCCCCCAGCCUAAAAAAAUAAAAAAUAAAAAAAAAAAAGAGGAAAAAGAAAAAAAAAAAAACGAAAAAAAAGAGAAAAGAAAAAGAAAAAAAAGAAAAGAAAAAGGGGCUAGCAAAGUUGUUAGGAGCUAAGAAAUAUUUUGAGGUUCUGAAAAAAAUCCCUUGUAGAUUUCAAGGAGAAGGAGUUAAAGUUCUUAGGAUCUUUUGGUGAGAGAUGUGAGUUGGGUUUGACAUUUGGGAAUGAUUGUGUAAUUGUAUGUUUGGGAAAAGGGUAGAACAAUGGAGAUUGAGCAUUGUAUGCAUGAGUUGGUCCCUUUCUUAGAUAUAUUAUGUGCAAUGUCAAGGCUACUUGUUUUGAGAGUAAACCACCUUAAAGAUCAUAUGUUUUGAACCUCUUGAAUCACUUGAAUAAAAGCCUUCCCUUACCCAACCAAAUGACUUGGACCAACUGACCAUUUGCAAGAAUUCACCUGAUGUUUUGUGCUUAAUGAAUGUGAGAGUUGGUUGAUUUGAAUGUGUGGAUGCUUGAUGAUGAGUGUAAGAACAAAAAGAGUUAAGAUAGGCCUAGAGAAGCUAGAGUGUAAUAAGAGAGUGUGCUAGUUGUGUUUCUUUUGGCUAUGUGCUCCCUCCUUCAACCUCUCUCCCUAUGAGUUCUAGAAAGUUCACUUGUGGACAAGUAAAAGAACAAGUUUGGGGGAGUUGAUAUCUUGCAUAUUUGCAUUGUUUUAUCCAUUCAUCCAUGAGCAUUUUCAUCAUAUAGAUUAGGUUUCAGACAUGUUUAGGUUGCAUUUUGCAUACAUGAGUCUCUAUUAGGUACUGGAAUACCACAUGAGGCUAUUUGGAGCUCAAAAGAGGUGAAAAGGUGACCAUUGAACGAACCGAGCAUGGGAGCGACCUCCCGGAGCGACAUCACGAAGUCGCUGUGUCCCACUUCUCAGAGCGACCUUCCUAAAGCGACGCCAUGAAGUCGCUCGCGUUCUCAUUACUCCGAACAGUCUUAGAUGACCCUGGAGCGACCUCUCAGAGCGACCUACCAAAGUCGCUCCCGAUCCAGAGCGACCCGUUGGAGCGACUGCACAAAGUCGCUCGCGUUUUCACGUCCGGAGACACACAACUCGCUCUCGGAGCGACCUCUCGCAGCGACCCAGCGAGGUCGCUCCCGAAGCUUGGAGCGACCUGUCCAGAGCGACAGGGAGAAGUCGCUCGCCAUCUUGGUUCCCGGAGACAAGAAAUCGCUCUCGGAGCGACCUCUCGCAGCGACCCAGCGAGGUCGCUCCCGAAGCCUGGAGCGACUUGUCGGAGCGACGAGCCGAGGUCGCUCCGCGCCUAUUAUCUGCUCGAUUUCUAUUUUACUUAAGGGCCUUUUGGUCAUUUCAUUAUGCACGUUUUGCACUUGGAAAAACCUAUGUUUUAAACAUCUUUUGUAGCCACCAGUGGCAGAUUAUCUUUUAUCUUUUGAUCUAUUGAGAAAUACACAAGAACUCUCUUGAGAAGUUCAUCUUUUGGAUUUUGAUUGUUAUGUUCUUGUGUUCUUGUUGAUUUCUUAUCUAUUUCUUUACAUGAUUAAUCUGAAAUCCAAUAUGGGUUUAAGAGGAAUCAUGGAGAUUAGUGAGUAAUCACCUUUUGAAUUCAUGGGUUAGGGAGAUUAAGGGUGAUUAGGUUAGAGCUAGGGUGUUUUAGUGUAGAUCAUUCAUAUUUCCUUGCUAGUAGAGUAAUCAUAAUGCAUCUUCUGAGUUGGCCACUCAGUUGUUGAUCCUUAGGCAUUUCUCACCCGAAAGGUGUUCGAUGAAAUGCCCGAGACAACUCUCCUAGGCUUUUAGUAUACUUUGCCAAAGACAUUUGUUGUUAAAGAUGCUAAGAUAGCUAAUAGACUUGUUAGUAAUGAUUGCUUUCAUAUUAUUCAACCAAAGACAUUUGAUGUUUGAGAUAUGUUAGCAAAUGAGCAUUCAUCUAGACAUAGAGCUUGCUUAGAAUUGUGUCUAGGCUUAAGGUUGAUAGUUUGAUUGAUCAUUUGCCAUCCUUAGUUCGAUACUUGAUCACCCAAGGUCUAAUCCCUAUGCCCAUGAGUUCUCUUUUCCCUUAGUCAAGAAAGUAUCAUUUUGUUAUUGCUUUUAGUUAGUCGUAGUUUAAAACCCAUCUAAAUCAUUGGUUGCACUUAGAUUAAGUGAGUACUUGCAUUCUCAGUGCUUUGAUAUCCCUCAGAACUGGUUCGACAAUCAUUUAUACUACAACAUUUGUCUUAGGAGCCUUGAAAACUCUUAACAUCACUACUUUACGUAAUUCUACUAUGAAUUUAUAGAUUAUUAUAUAUUGACUAUAAUGUUAUACUAUUUCAUAUUUUACAAAUUACGUAUUGGAUGCUUGAAAUUGACAAACUUAAACUUAAUUUUACCAAAAAGUUUUUUGACAAACUUAACACCAAUAAUAAAGUAAAAAAAAUAAAUACAAGUGUUGGUGUUUUGUUUAUCAAUAUUUUCCUAUAUACUGGAAAAUAGGAAAAAUAACAAAAAAUAUUAUACAAAAAUUAACUCAAAUUUAAAAUGAAUUCUUGAAUAUUUUUUAACCAAAUUUGUAAAUGUACAAAGCCCCUGGUCCCUAGAAAGAAACUGGAUCGGCCUUUUCCAACUUUGUUUAUUUUUAUUUUUAACUUGCAUUUCCUUAAAAAGCACGUAAUACCAUUAAAUCUCAUUAGCCUAAAUGCAAUCACAAUCUCUUGCUACUGCUCAGCUACACAUACAUACAUACCUUACAUAUAAUCUCGUAGUUAAAUUAUUAAUUAAAGUUAAUUAUUUAAAGGCAGCCAAGUCGAAGCUCCAAAUCAAGAACUUGGUUUGGAUUCCUCAAAUCCAUCCCAAGCUCCAACCUCGUGAAUCCAUGUUUCUUGUUCAUCUCCCCACGACUUAUCUCACAUUUUGCAGCAUGGCAUGAUGAAUCUAUGGCACUCUUCUUGAGCUCUCUGCUACACACAUUGCUCUUGUUCUUCUCUCUUUCCUUCAUCAAACCUCCAUGGCUAGUAUUAUCCAGAAGAUCGAACCGGUCAGAAGAAAACGUAGUCGUUUUGGAUAUCUGGUUGGUUAGGGAAGGGUCAAG